AGAUUAUAGAAUUCAGUUAUUCAGUUCUAAGAAUAAAGUUUUCAGUUUAUAGUAUUGAGUAACAACAAUAUUUCAUAGAUUAUCAUGGGUACCAAAAUUUGUUAUACUUUACAAUUAUUUAUCUCGAAUAAAGAACAAAGAAUAUUAUGAUGUAGUCAUGUUUUAGUUCUAAAGGUUUUAUCAGAUUUCAGAAUUCUCAUAGUGUUAAUAGAGCAAGAAUUUUAAGAAAAUAUGCAUAAAUGGAAAAAGUUUACUUAUUUGCAAAUUAUCCACUCACUGAGGUAUUAGCUCAUAUUGCUUUUACCUUAUCAGACAGAUAGUAGCUGAACUGAGCAUUACUGGGCCAGUUGAUCUAUCGAGUUGAACUAUAAAUUGUCAAGCAUUGUAUGACUCAUCUUAUCAGUGUAAUAGCUCAUAUUUUGGAAUAGACACGUCUUUUGGUCAGAAAUUAGUUCCAUGUUUUGAGCCUGCUAUGUUUUGUAUAUAUUAUGCAUUUUGGGUACUGUGGUUUAUAAAUUGUUGCAAAGGUCAAAUUACCAGUGUUGUAUUUGAAUAGUUGAUUUUCUGUGAGCCAGUGUACCCUAUUUUAAACUAUAUGUAUCUGUUUGGGAUAUUGGAUUAUAUAUUUCAGAUGGUUUUAGUCUAUAAUUCAGGGGGAACUCUGUCGAAAUUUUUACAAAGCAUAUCAUAGUCAAUACAAGUCAAUGUUGCCUUGAUGGUAGGUCUAGCACUUAACUGGUAUCUACCAUCGGCACACGACACGUGUCGGAUUUAUAAGGAUGAUUCAGGACGGGAUGUGUCAUUUAUCAUUUGGCAAGGAUAUCUCAAUACUUUUUUCAAUGAGAAAGCAGUGUGGCUAACACGUAUUUGUGUUCACAAGUCACAUAAUUUAUCAAAUGCAAAAUGUAAGGCUUAGAGAAAAAAUGAAGAGCAAACAGUAACUUGAAAAAAAGGAACAGUAAAAGAAGCUAGGAAAAAGAAGUGAUAAAGUGACAAAAUGCAAAAGUUGGUAGUGUUUUCAAAUUUCAAGCAACAGCGAUCAAUCUUCAUUUAAACAACCAGCCACAAUGAAAUAUGAAAGUUGACAAGUAUAAGAAAGCCAAGUAAAAUCGAGUGAAUUGUCCAAAUGGUCACUGAACUUUGUAAUAGUUUUUCAAAGGGUCACUGAACUUUAAAAAUCACCUAAAUGGUCACUGAACUUUGCAAAAGAUUUCUAUGGGGUUACUGAAUUUUAAAAAUCACCUAUAUGGUAACUGAACUUUGCAGCGACCUUGUGAAAAACUUUUGCGAAGUUCAGUGACCAUUUAGGUGAUUUUUAAAGUUUAGUGACCUCGUAAAAACCUUUUACAAAAUUCAGUAACCAUUUAGGUAAUUUUUAAAGUUCAGUGAUCCCUUGAAAAUUUUCUACAAAGUUCAGUGACCAUUUGAGCAAUUCACUCGAUUCUAUCCCAUCCUUAAUUUUGGAGACCAUACUAGAUUUGGUUACUUGUUUAUCCAUCAAUUUCUGGUUGGAUUGACAAUCUAAUGAUCAAUCCAUUCAUUGAUAAUGCGUCCAGCCUAUUUGGGUUAGGAUGUAAAAGGUUGCUGGUUUGUUUAGAAAAGAAUGAUCCAUUGGCGGGGAGAUAAAUUCUUUUUGUUGAGAGUGAAGAAAAGUAGUAGAAUGGUAAAGUGGAGAUGGAGGUGGUUGAAGGAGAAGAGAAUUGUUUUCAUUUCUUUGAUCUUCAUCCUAAGAAAGUAAAAAAAUUUGAUUAAGCUUUUGGCUUCUUUCAUUUUCACCAAAAGUCAAAUUGUCAUUAGCUUGUUUCUUAUUUCGAAUGUCAACCUUGUGUGGAUAAUAAAUGUUUGAAGAAUAAUUUCUUAGUUUGGUGUCAUUUUGUUGGAACUGCAGAGUGUGGUUUGAUAUCUUUAUUCUAAUGACAUCUUGAGUAAAUCACAUCUUGAAUAAAUAACUACAACAUUUUCGAACACUUCUAUUUACAUUUCAAAUGUUCAAAUGAAGCAAAAGAAAAUUUAUAAUAACAAUACAUGACCAUAAUUCAUGGCAACGAAGUAGACAUGUUAUGAAGUUACUUCUCAUGUUGAGGCAUUCUCCUACCAUAGAUCCCAAGGAAAAACUAUAGUAUUUGAAAAUCUAGAUUUCAUUUCUGAAAAAAGGAUGGAUAAAGAGGUGUACAAACACAUCUAUACAAAAUGUGUUACACACUCUCACAAAAAGCGAGUCCCACGUGAAUUUAAAAAAUGUCGGCUUGUGGUCUCCACCCCCUAUUGUGAGUAGUGAGUAAGGAAUCUUUUAAAAAAGUUUGUACAUAUAGUAUGAUCAAAAAAGGAUUACACAGUCUGGUUAAGGGAGGCGAUGGAGAAAGAACGUAGGCUAUGGUACGAUGAAGUAAAGAAAAAUCGACUAAUAUGGCUGGGAAAAAAGAGGAAACAUCUUAGCAUUUUGAUUAUUUUUUAGAUGACCUUUUGUUUCAAACAUGUUAUUCAAUUUAGUUUGCAUAAUCAAUUUGGUAGAGAGUAGGAGAAUCACUGUGUGUGAAUUUGUACCAAUUUUGUCAUCAUACUAGCUCACACACGAUCUUGUUGAUUUACACCAUCAUGCAUUUUCUUUUUGACACUAGAUUGAACAAAAUGAAAUUGUGUUUAUGAUCUUGGCAUGAAAUUGGAAGCAUCGACCCAAGCAUGGUUACCAACCCAAUAUAUUUUUUAGGGGACCCUUUUCAACGACAAUAUUCUAAAUAAAGAACUCGAACAUGAAGAACAUGGCCAUCGGGGCAAAGGUUGUCCAUACCAAUAACUUCUAAAAUGUAGACUCUGAAUCCUUCAAUUAGUACCAUAAUACACAAAUUUUGAAUGCAUAAUUUUUUAUUUUAUUAUUAUUUGGGGGGGGGGGGGCUACUUUAUGAAAUUGCCCCCAAAAUCAUAGAUUACUACAUAAAUUUAUUCAUGACUUUAGUAAUUUAGUUCUCACAUCACAUCUUUUGGUGAUAUUUUAUCGGUUCUCAAAACAUAUAUGCUUGAUCUUCAUUUCACAAAUUUCAUUAAUUAUGAUAUUCAUAUCCAAUAUCAUCACAUCACAAUAUAUAGUGUUACCUUCAAUUUAAUGAAGAUGAUCUUCAGAAGAAAUUUCCAAUUUCUGAAAAAUAUGAAAUAGUAACCAAAGAAGAACAUAACUUGACGGAAGAAGAUGGAUGAAAACUGAACAUGAAGAUCAAUCAAGAAAUUAUUUUUCAUCAGCAGUGAUACGAUAAUUGUUUCCUAUUGCGAUUUUCAAUUGGUUUUUUAUAUGAAAGGCAUUGAAUGCAAGCAUAAUGUUUGCAUUAUUUUCAGUUACAGAAAAUGGUAAGUUGUGUAAUUUUAGAAGGCAGUAUUUAUCAAUAUAUUUUACAUAUUACAAAUUGUAGUAAUUAGUGAAAUCUUAUUUUUUAAUAGGUUAGAUACGAUUUUCCCCCUUUUCCCAUUUGAAAGGUGCCCAAUAGAAGGAUAGGCCCAUAUAUCCAAAAUGGGCUCUCUCUCUAUAGGUUUAAGAGGCCCAUAUAUCAAAAAUGGGCUCUCUCUCUCUCUCUCUCUCUCUCUCUCUCUCUCUCUCUCUCUCUAGGUUUAAGAGGCCCAUAUAUUCGAAUGCUGUCAUUCUUCGUCUUCCAUAUCUGCGCAGUGUCUGAGAAGAUUAUGACGGCAACAACUCAGUCAUUCAAUGGCAAUCUGAAGGUAAGUUCUCCAUUCUUUUUCGUUUUGGGGUAUUCAUCUCAUUGCACUCUUAGCUUAUUUCUACUUAUUUUUAGCUUAAUUUUUAGUAUUCGUUAUCGUUAUUAUGAUGAGUGUAAUAUGGAAAUUUCUAUUGAUGCAGUGAGUUUUGAUUUAAUUGUUGCUUGUGAAAUGAAAUAUAUAUAUAUUUCUUUGAGUUAUCAUCAAAUUUAGUAAUAGUCAAAUCAGGGUUAACCCAUGAGGGAUAAUUCAACAAUGCAAAAGAUUAACAAUAAAUCUGGUAAUUGAUUUGAGGAUGUGCUAUUUCAGGCUAGCACACAUGCUGGAGAAUAUAUGUAGCGUCAAUUCUUGUGGUGUAUGUCAGAAACACUGUUAAGAUACAUUUGGUGUGUAGUAACUCAUAUGUGUCUGGAGAGCGCAAUAUUUUACUAGAUUUUCACAUUUUUUUCUCUCUUCCAUUUUCAAUGAUAUCUAGUGCUGUCUGGCUAGUCGAUUCUACUGGAUAUGCUGUGGUGUAUAAACCCACAAAUCCGUAGCUAGCUAAUUUUGCAGCAAAUUAUGUGUUGAAAUAUAAGUUUAGGUUAAUUGGGGUUGGGGAUAUUUGAUAAGAGAAAAUUUUGUUUCAUCUUUUCUUUUGAAGGAGCAAUUGCAUUUUUUGAAUAGCGGAUUUGAUUGUUCUUUUGUUUUCUUAGCUCUUUUUGUCUGUCUAAAUGUUAAUCAGGCAUCCAGCAAUUUUGGAAAUCCCUAGUAGAUAAUCACACUUUUACUUCGGUACAUGGUAGUAAGAACAUCUUUGUUACACAAUUAAAAGACCUUUUCUAUUGUUUCAUUUACCGGGUGGCUUCAACUGUAAAACAGCAGCUGAAAAUAUUGGAAACUGCUUGAAAAAGGAAUGACUGGCAAUUCUUAGGCUAAAGUCCUUUAGAAGUGGCUUUGAUUUGGUAUUAAGCUUAAGAUCUUGUAUUUUCUUAAACAACUAAAACUAUUUUUCUGUGAUGUCGUUGCUUGUGGAUUUCGUCUUUGUUUUUUAGCAAUGUUAUUAAAAUCAAAGCGGUAGGCCUUUAAUACCAUUUCACAGUUUUAGCGAUGUUAUUAAACCUUGAAAUUAUUCGGCUUUAGCACUGUGUACUUUGUAUGAAAUGUUUCUUAGCAAUGUUAUUUAAAAUUUCACUUGAAUUUUUCAUUUUCACACUAGUAAUGACUUUUACAGCAUUUCAUGAGAAAUCGUCAGGGCAGUGGACUAUGAGGUGGUAUAGUUUUAUUCAUUCUUGGGAUUUUUGAAAUGGAAUAUUGUUUUGUUCAUGCCUCUUGAGCUGAACCGGUUAUGCAGUAGAGUGGAAGGAAAAUGAAAGGGCAAAGAAAGUGAAUACGGGAAGAAAAGAGAAUCUGGCGAUGGGGAUGGGGUGUAAACAUGAAAGAGGAAAUGGGAUAUUUGUGGCUGACAUUUAUUUUCUUCAGAUAGAGAGAGAGAGAGGGAGAGAAUUUUCUUUUCAAUAAAUAUGAUGUCAUCGAUAAUAACAUGUAAUAAUGUGGUACUAAGGAUACGGAGGAAAAUGAAGAAGGUUCUUGAUGUGCAAACACAAAAAAUUAAAGAUUGAAAAUUGUGCAUUUUAAAAUGCUUUUAAUUAAUAAAGUAAAUGUAUAUAUUGUUGUUGUGGAUAUAAUUAACAUCACAACUCAUUAUUUGAAUAUUUACACCACUUUAUUUUGUUAUUGAUGAAUAGUUAACUUAUAUUUUUAUAAAUCAUAGUAUAUAAAUAUAUAUAUUAAAUUUUUUAUGUUUUACUUCCAGUUCGACUUCAAAUGUACCCUUUGACUUUUUACCCUUAACUUUGACCUUUUCCAGCCCAAUGAUCAGGUCGGGUUUGAAAACAUUAUUUUUUCGGUGUCAUUUUGAAGUUUAUACUAUACACUUACAUGAUUUCUGAGCAGAAUAUAUUCAUUAAUCUCGCAGAAAGCAGUAGCUGGACUCAGACGAAUUAAUUUGGAAGGCUUAAAAUGGAGGGUGUUUGAUGCAAAAGGACAGGUUAUACACCUAUAUCUGGAAGUCUGUCUCAACAUGGAUCACCAUAUUUUACUAGUUUUGAACAUUCUGUGAAUGAUGGUGAUUUAAUCUUUGAUUAGGUCCUCGGGAGGCUGGCAUCACAAAUAUCGACUGUAGUUCAAGGCAAGGAUAAGCCUACAUAUACACCCAAUCAUGAUGAAGGGGAUAUGUGCAUAGUAAUCAAUGCAAAAGAUGUAUGUGUCACAGGGAGGAAACUAACUGAUAAGUUCUACCGUUGGCAUACUGGGUACUUACCAUUUUUUAUUUAUCUUCCAUUGAUUUACAUUUAGUUAUAUGAUAUUGUUGGGGUUUUAGUAUGCUGUUGAUUACUGAGUUUGUGCUAUAUGAAAUAUAAAAGCUUACAUAGAUGGCAAUGAUUUUACUCUGCAAAUUCCAGAUUUUCAACAUAAAAUAAUUUAAUUAUGGGACCUGUUAUCACGAGUAAACCUUUGUCCUUGUAGAUAUAUCGGCCACCUCAAGGAAAGGAGUUUGAAAGAUCAGAUGGUCAAGGAUCCUACUGAAGUAAUACGCAAAGCUGUGCUGCGCAUGCUUCCUAGAAACAAAUUACGUGAUGUGAGUUGGUAUUUUUGACACAUUUUUUUUCAAGGCUGCUAGUGUAUUUCAAUAGUAGUUUUCUCAAGUCUAACCAUGAUUGCUUACAAGUUAUAUUAUUUUUCUGAAUUGGGAUGGGGAGUAGAUAAGUCAUAGAUCGAUUGUGAUCCUUAUUUUACAUGGAGUGUAUGAUUCAAGUUGUUGUAGAUGAUUAUUUGAAAUGUUAUUUUAGAUAUAUUACAAGAAGGCUUUCUCUAAGUUACGAAUAGUUGUGUUUUCAGUAGUACAAAACUGUUUAAUGGUCCUUAAUUGUUAUGGCUUGAGCCUCAAAACCAAAGUUGUUCAGUAGUUUUGUUGAAUGCAAAACUCAACAUUACUCUUUCCAUGUAGGAUAGAGAUAGAAAAUUGAGGAUAUUUGCUGGCAGUGAGCACCCUUUUGGUGACAAGCCACUUGAACCUUAUGAGAUGCCUCCUCGACAAGUGCGUGAAAUGCGACCCCGUGCAAGACGAGCUAUGAUACGAGCUCAGAAGAAAGCCGAACAACAAGAUCAAGGUGUUAGCACAUACACAAGAAAAGGCAAAAGGAGGGAAGAGGUAGAUGCCGAAGUUGGUGAAUCAGAGUAAAUUGUGGUUUUUCGAGUGAUUUUGAUUAAAAUUUGGCCUUCAAUUGCCAUGGAAUUCUUGGUUGGCUAGUGUCCGGAAGUGCUAUUUUCAGUUGCAUGUAUUGUUUUUGAAUGUUGUAAUGUGGUAGUAGGUUGAAAUAUGAUGUUUUAAAUAAGAUUUAAUUAAAGGAAGAUUCUUGGCACGAAAAAGUAGAUUAAAAAAUCAUGAUUGAAAAAAUGAUAGGUGAAAAUUUCACCUUUCAUUCACCGUAUCAUCUAGUGCCACCUACAUUGAGGUUACAAUUCUAGCGUGGUUGUAUAACAUUAUUCUUUUGAAAUACAUGACAAAUUUAAAAUAAAAAAGGGAAAAUUGCAGCAAUGGUCUUUACCCUUUUCGUUUUUUGUAGAUUUUAUCCUAAUUUUUUCAUAAAUAAGCACAUGAGGUCCAAAACACUGUUACUUGACUGAGAGUGAUUCUUUUGAAAAUGAAAGCAUCUUUGCACUUGAGCCCUUCUUUCACGUCCUCAUAAAGGUCUCACAACUCUUACUGACUCAUCUAUAGAAACAAAUGAUUGCAAUAAUGGUAACACGAAUGUGUCCUACUAAGGAAACAAUUAUGCUAUAUUGAAAAUAAAAUCUCCAUUUAUGAUGUUAAAUUGAUUAAUUUGAAGGGAGUAAUUCAAAUUUUUUAUUUAUAUGUUUUGAAUAUCAUACCAAAGAAAUACAUAACAAGGGAAAAAAAAUACCAUGAAAGCAUUUGUGGCUAAUCUUCUCAUAAAAAACAAGCUUAUAACUUUCAUUAUUCAAUUAAAUUUUGAGUUUUAUCUCAUCAUGAAAAUUAGGAAAAGUAGAAUAAAAGUUAGAGCUAAUGUGCAUCGAUAGGGUUGUUUUAGCCCCAUUUUUUUUAGUAGAAUAGAUUUUGUAAUAGUAAUUUUUUUGGAGAAUGUGAUUGAAAAUAUGUACAAGGGAAGAUGAGUAUAUAAAGAAUGGAGCUCAAAAAGGAGCAUAAUAUUACCAAAUUUGAAGAAAUUGUAUCGUGUUAUUUGUUUCCAGUGGUAACUUCAAAUUUACUAAGAAUGAUGGAGUUAUAAAAUUACACUGUAAGGCUAUAACACCAAAAACAAAGGAGAAUUUAUCAUCAUUUUUCAACGGGUGAUGGGAAUAUAAAUAGAUUUAUUUAGAUCAAUUCUAUGCAGAAGCUGUAUAGCAUUCUUGGACCAACAAAAUAGCAAACCACAAUUCACUUAUCUUGUCAAUGUAUGGAGUAUAAACAUAUUGACUCCUUCAUAAUUUUAGUCAACCUAAACCCAACUUCUUGUCAGGAGAAACGGGAAAUGCGUAAAGAAACUAUGUUAGGAAGGCUAAAGCCCCCUCCCCCACUGACUAGCUAUAUAGUGGAUGGUAGUUUCCGAAGGAGCCAAAUACCACCAAUUGUAUUUACCCAAGAAGAUGCAGGACGUAUCCACUUCUCGUACUAUAACACCCUAGUUGUAAAGGCUGUGGUGGUUUGAAAUGGGCUAAAACGAAUGUUAGUAAAUAAUGGCAGCUCCGUCAAUAUUCUUUUUGGAGCCAUCUUUGAUAAAAUGAUUGUGAAUCAUGAAUUCACUCUCUUACCAUCCUUAUAUGACUUUAUCGGAGACAGCAUCACCCCUAAGGGAAAGAUAACACUUGCAGUCGAAAUGGAAGAAUUACCUCAAACGAGUCUGGACAUCAUGGAAUUCUUGAUAGUGGAUAGUAGACCAGCCUAUCAUGGAGUCCUGGGAAGGCUAGCUAUGAAGGAUCUAGGAGUCGUCACCUCAAUCCACCAUUGUGUAUGAAAUUCCAACUGAGUAGGGAAUACCGAUGGUUAGGGAUGAUGAAAGAGGAGCCUAGGAGUGCUAUUUGAACUCGAUAAAAAAGGCAGAGCCUCGGGAUGUCAAUGUGGCGAUAGUUGACAUAGAGAUGUGGACACCCAGGAGAGCAAGACCUCGGACAACAGGACAUUGAGAUGUUAGACGUCCCCGAGGAGGUGGUCAUUUUGGACUAAUUGGACCCCAGUGUGGUUGAAUUCGAGCCCCGAACGGCCCCAAUAGAGGAGUUGGAGAGUUUCUUAGGAUCCUACAAAGUUAUUGCAGGUGGAAAAAUGCUUGUCACCAAAAAUCAAAGAGAAGCUCAAAAACAUCCUACGUAGGAACCUUGAAGUCUUUGCGUGGAGGUAUGAAGAUAUGCUCGGAAUUGACCCCAAGGUCAGCUGCCAUUACUUAAAAAUUGAUCCCAAGGUUGUCUCGCAUAGACAAAAGAGAAGAAUUCUUAAUUUGGAAAGGUAUGAGAUCCUGAAAGAAGAAGUACAAAAAUUAAUCAGGAACGGCUUCAUUAGAGAAGCCAUAUACCUGAAUUGGGUCUCCAAUCUGGUGCUAGUAAAGAAGCAUAAUGGAAAGUGGAGUGUGCAUUGAUUUUUUCGAUCUCAAUAAAGCGUGCUUUAAGGAUAGCUUCUCCCUGUUGUGGAUAGACCAAUUGAUAGACUCCACGACUAGACAUGACUUACUAAGUUUCACAGAUGCCUACUCGAGCUUUAUUCAAAUUCUCGUGUACUCAAUCGACGAAGAAAAUACCUCUUUCAUCAUCGAUAGGGUCUUUAUUGCUACAGAUUGAUGCCCUUCAGACCAAAGAACGUCGGGGCCACUUACCAGAGGCUUGUUAACAAAAUGUUUGUUGACCUCAUUCAAAAAAUAAUAAAGGUCUAUGUGGGCGAAAUGAUUGUCAAGAGCUUAAAAUUAGAUGACCAUGUGACGCAUUUGAACGAAACAUUUCAAAUUCUACGGAGGUACAGGAUAAAGCUGAAUCCCUCAAAUGCACGUUUGGUAUUUCUUCAAACAUAUAUUUUAGGAUACAUGGUCAACCAAAAAGGUAUAGAGGUAAACCUCGAAAAGAUUCAAGCCUUAGUAAAAAUAAGGUCUCCCAAGAAACCAAAAGAGGUGCAAAGCUUUAACAAGUCGAGUGGCCGCUCUAAGUCACUUCAUUUCGAAGGCCAUCGAGUAAUGCGGCCGUUUUCGUCAAAGUCUUGAAAGGAGGUAAGAAGUUUCAAUGGAGGAGGGAGUGUGAAGAGGCUUUCCAGGGGGUAAAAAAUGCACCUAGGGUAGUGCCCAUUCUCUUGAAGAAGCCCUACAACUUUACUUAGCCAUCUCCAAUGAGUCCUUAAAUGUCGUCUAAAUCAAAGAAGAAGAAGCUGCUCAGUUAUCUAUAUACUACAUCAGCAAGGCACUCCUGACGCCUGAAACUCCUUACCCUGAAAGAAAAUAGCCUUAGCCUUGACUACAGCUUCCAAAAAGUUGAGGCCUCACUUUCAAGCCCACACAAUAAAUGUACUAACUAGCUUACCUCUUAGGCAAGUACAUCUGAAACCAGAUGCUUCGGGAAGGUUGUUGAAAUGGGCAGUGGAGCUCAGUGAAUUCGACCUACAUUUUAAGAUAAGAGUUGCCAUCAUAGGCCAAACCUUAAUGAAUUUUGUAGCCAAAUUUGCCAAUGCCUUGAUAAUGGAGGAAACGUUGAAGCUUGCUGAGCCUCCCAUAUGGAACUUGUUAGUGGAGGGCUUCGCUGGAGAAGCAAGCUCGGGUGUAGGCAUGGUCCUGGUGAACCCCGAAGGUCACAAGUUGAAUUUCACAAUGCAAUUCGGAUCCAAAGCCACUGAUAAAGUGGUUGAGUAUGAGACGUUGCUUGUUGUUCUUUGGCUAGCCAGGGAAAUGCAAGUAAGGAGGCUGCUCAUCAACGGCGAUUCUCAAUUAAUUGUUAGCCAAGUUAACCACAACUUUAUAGCUUGGGACAAAAGCAUGGCUACAUAUCUCAAAUUGGUGAGUGGCCUACUCAUUUCAUUUAAGAAAUUCGAACUAACUCAAAUCCCUCACAUUGAGAAUGCCAAUGUUUAUACAUUAUCUAAGUUAGCCAGCAGUAAAGAUUUGGAGCUGUUGACGGUGGUUCCAAUUGAGCACCUCAUCAAGCCUCCAUUGCUACGCAGGAGGUAAUGUGGGUAGAGAGAACACCGGCUUGGAUGCAAACCAUCAUAGCUUAUCUAAAAGACCAGGUCCUUCCUGUCAAUAAAGAAGAGGCUUAUAAGUUGAGGAGGAGAUCAGCUCAUAUUGUACUAUUAGAUGAUAUACUUUAUAAGAGGGGCUUCUCUUCUCCUCUCCUCUUCUUUCCUUGGAUGUAUCGGAGGAGAAAAAGCUACUUGUAUACUCUGCGAAGUUCAUGAAAGCGUUUGUGGUAACCACUCAAGAGGUCCGACGUUGGCAAAGAACAUACUGAGGCAUGGAUAUUAUUAGCCCACAUUGAAAAAGGAUGUCAUUCAGUUUGUACGAAAAUGUGACAAAUGCCAAUGCUUCUCCUCUAUUUAAAGGCAACCAUCCCAGGAUUUGACAAAAAUAACUAGCCCCUAGAACUUUUUCAAGUGGAGCGUGAGCCUUUAAGGCCCUCUGUCCAAGAAUAAAGGAAGUGCAAGUUUUGUUAUCGUUGCCAUAGACUAUUUCACGAAAUGGGUCAAAGCUGAGCCUCUGGCAAAAUUCAUGGAGGUAAACGCUUCCAAGUUCCUAUGGAAAAAUAUUAUAUACUGGUUUCCCUUUAAAUCAUAUCAGAUAAUGGGAGGUAGUUUGUUAACAAGAAGUUUCGGGACCUGUGUGAGGAAGUGAGAAUCAAGAAACAUUUUUCCACACCUUACCAUCUUCCAGCUAAUAGGUAGGUGAGGUUUUGAUCAAAACCAUUAAACACACUUUGAAAUGAAAGCUCGACGUAUCCAAAGGAACAUAGGUUGAUGAAUUACCUCAAGUAAUAUGGACGAUCUGCACUACUAGCAAGACUCUAACGAGAGAGACUUCACUCUCAAUAACUUAUGGUACCGAGGCCAUGAGCCCAGUAUAAGUUUGAUUGCCUUCUUCGCUUUGGCUGUACUUCGGCUAAAUAUUAAAUGAUGAACUUAGAAGGUGUGAACUCGAUUUCCUUGAUGAAAAAAGGGAUAGCUCUCAAUUGAAAUUGGCCAUUUACCAAAGGAAGAUAACUCGUUACUAUAAUGCCAAAGUUAAGAAGAGGUAGAUAUGAAUUAAUGACUUGGUGCUUCAGAAAGUAUUUCUGUCCUCCAAGGAGCCAAGUGUGGGCACUCUAGGCCCAAAUUGGGAAGGCCUUUGUCGCAUAAAGAAAGAGAUCCAAUCUGGAUCUUAUGGGAUCAAAGACUUGAAUGGCAAAGUACAGCCUCAGCUGUGGAAUAUUGGGCACUUAAGAAUGUACUAUCUAUAAAUGUAUUUUGUUAUUGGAAGAUCCUACCCAGCCCUUGUAGAAAAUUUUUGAAUGUGAAUAUGAAGUUUAUCAUUCCUACAAAGCCUCUAAAAUGAGAAAGGAUAAACUCUGCUCAAAGCGUGGGCGCCUUAGAGGAGAUGAUCUACCCCAAAAAAGGGCCACCCUGUUCGAAUUUCGAGGCGUACAUCACAUGCCUCACUUGACGAAGCUAAACGUCAAGUGAGAAGCCUUUUGUAUCAAUGAAUUAUCCACCAUGUGAAGAAGUAUGGUGCCUCGGAGGAGAUAAUCUACCCUAAAAAAAGGUCACCUUGUUCGAACUUCGAGACGUACAUCACAUGUCUCACUUGACGAAGUUGAAUGUUAAGUGAAAAGCCUUCGCAUAGAUAAACCAUUCAUCAUGUGAAGAAGUGUGGGUGCCUCAGAGGAGGGGAUCUGUCCUCGAAAGGGGGUCAUCUCAUUCGAAAUUUGAGGCUCACAUCACAUGUCUCACUUGACGAAGCUAAAUGUCAAGCGAGAAGCCUUUACAUAGAUAAACCAUUCACCAUGUGAAGAAGCGCAGGCACCUCGGACUAGAAGAUCACUUUCAAAAGAGGAUCACAUCGUUUGAACUCCAAAUCGUACAUCAUAUACCUCACUUAAUGAAGCUGAAUGCCAAGUGAGAGGUCUUUGCAUGGAUAAGCCAUCCACCACGCAAAAGGAUUACUUCGUUGUCUCUUAAGUUAUGCUUCAUGUUUCAAUGGGCAGCUUAUUAUUGUAUAAGUUAUUUUUGUCCGAGACAAUUAUAUUGCGUAAAGUUAGUAUGUGCAUAAGUUACUUCCAUUUAGGAGUCCUACUACUUGCAAAGUUAUUAUGAUUAAUUGAAAAGGCUAUGUAUUGUAAAUAAAAGACUGAACACAAACUACUUGAAAAAAAAUUCACUUCAUUGAUAUCAAAAAAUAUGGGUACAAGUUAAGGGUCGUGGCAAUUACAAAAUGUGAACAUCAAGGAACUACACUACGAAUGAGGUGGCUGGGGCUUUGUGGCCUUCAUAGUAGAUGCUUCGACUACAACUUAAGUCAAAGUUUCUUCCACAAGAGUUUUCUCUUGGUCCGCGUCCCCUUCAGCUGCUUCCUUGGCUGGAGUCUGCGACACUUCGUCUAUAUAUUUUGCCCUCAACUCGGCUGUGUUCAGUUCUGAAAAAAGCUCCUCCAUCCGUUCCACGACUUUAGCAUAAUUGAACUUCCUCCAGUAAGGAGCGAAGCUUUGAUACUCUUCCAUGAAAUGGAAGUUGGCGGCAUAAUUUCUUACCACCUCUUCUCUCGCCAGAGUGAGCUCAGUUUCCUACCUCUGGGCCUCUUGUACAUAGUGCUUCACUUGAGUAUCCAAAAAUUGGUUGGCAUCUCUGACCCCCCAAGAGCUACAAGUUGGCCUGUUCCAGGGCUUUGCUAUCAGCUUCUGAUGAUUGUUUGAGGUUUUGACUUUCUUUAUUAGAGAGACAACCUCGUACUGGGACUCGUAAACUUUCCUCUUCAGAGCUUCAAUCUUUGCUAAGGCAAAAUCCAACUUGGCAGUGUCCUCCAUUUUCUGGGCCUUUAUUACCUUAGAUUUAGCCUUAAACUUCUUUAUUUUUUCCUCGAUAAUAGCCAACUUAUCUACCGAGGCCUUAUUCCUUAUUUAAAUGUCAGUCAAAGCAACCUAACAUUCGAGGGCUAGGCUAAAGGCUAGGGCUCACGAGCUUCGCAGUGAGUUCUAUCGACUCACAGGUAGACAUGUGUAACUGCCACCACCCUGUCCAGAACCUAUAAAAGUUGGCAGUUACAGUGCGAACUUCUGGUGGCAGCAUCUCCAUCAUUGUCGUCUUGCCCCGCCAAAAAUAUCCAAGACUUUCUCGAUGUCCUCUCUUUUUGUACCUUCUCAGUAGGCUCUGAUGCCUCUGCCUCCUCACUUGCGACUUCUUCAUUGACCUGUCUUACCAUCUCCACUUUUACUACCUUCACAACAGAGUCCAUUAGCUUCGGAGAUGGAGAAGCAACUUUAGCAAAGUGGGACACAUAGUCCCAAAUUUCACUGAAGCCUGUCGCUGCUAUGAACCAGUUUCCUCUUCUUAUGAGGCUCCUUAGCAAUUUUUCCGUUUCCUUUGUCACCCAUUUCCCAUGGCAUAUUAGCUUUAGGGGCCACCUCCUCAUCACUUUUCUAUGCGCGGUCCUUGCUGAGACACUUCACCUUGCCUCAAACAUGCUUGGUGCUCUUGGAUAAAGGCUUCAAGGUCUUAAUGCCUAUGGUUGAGUUGGCUUUGAGAAUUGAGGCCAUGUCAGGAGUGAAGGUGUUCUUUCUUACUGAACUUAUCUACAAGUAGUGCUGAAGGUUAGAAACCAAUAACAAUACGAGAUUGGAACUUAAAUGAGGACUUAUUGCUUACCCUUCAAGGCCAUCAAGCCAAAGUUAAGAAAAUAUUUGCUCAAGUUGAUUAAGUGAUUAAAAUGCCGAAGUUUAAGAAAAUGCUUAUAAAUGUCCUCAAUCACGUCCCACUCCACCUCGUAGAGUUAGAAGCGAGAUCUGGUAUUUCUAAAAAAGAAUGACUUAGAUAAGAUUAAAGAAAAUGAUGAUGAAGAUGCAAAUGGAGGCAUUCAUGUGCUUCGGAGUACUGGGUCGAUACUAUGUAUGCCAGGCUCGUGUCUCAUUUAACCAUUUGCCACCUACUUUGUACCCAGAACUAAGACUCCUUUUAACCCUUUAUGGAGGAGGGCAAAUCGACUACAAAUGGGGAUGUGAGCCCCCAAGCGUUUAUGUAAUACCAUCAUUUUGACUUAUGCAGGGGCAUGUCCUCACCCAAAGACACCUCAUUCUAAAGGGAGAAGGCUCCAACCAACUAGCUCCACCCGUUUUGGCAAAACCUGGGUUAGAGCCAACAUAGAGCUCCUCAGCACCGUUCUAAAAAAGGGGUCCAAGGACAGGCGCAUUCCUACCUUAAACAGGAACUCACUCACAGCCACACAUCCUGGCCUCAGAAAACAAGCUCGCCCAUGGGUUUUGGCAGCUAAGAGCUUUAUGUAAUGGGGUAUGUAAGAUUUCUCCUAAGUUCUUCGAGUUUUCUGGAGGUCACAAUAGAAGGGAUUUUGGUAGCCCCCAAUCUACCUCGUAGUCUAUGGCCCUCACUCAUAGCCCAGCACCUCCCUUUCGACCCUCCAUUCAAAGCCUACUCUCCAAACCUAGCAAUUGUGACAUUGUUGCUAACAAAUUCGGGAUCUAUUGAAGAUAAAGAGAUAUCGAGGAUGAUUGCGAAGAUAAUAAUCCAACAGAAACAAUACCUAAAUGAAAAGAAGAUCUUGGACAGUCGUCGAAAAAGAGGAGACGUCGAAAAAGCUUACAAUGCUUGGAGAGUUUGAAGGAUUUUUUGCAAACGUAAAAACCUUAAUAAUGGCUUCUCUUAGCCUUUAUACCAAAUGAAAAUGAAUCCUAUUCAUUGGAUCAAAGUUCAACCAAAAUUGUGACGUCUACCUAAGUUAAAUUAGAAGCAUUGAAUUCAAACAGUUUCUAUUGCAGAUGCGUCAAAUUAAUGCAUGAUUCUCACACAUCAGCUUAGCGUAUCCAUUUCAUAUUUCAAAAUCAUGGGCAUUAUUGCACAGUUAUUGUGGCAUUCGUACAUGAAUUGGAAAUCAAAACAUCUCCACUGCUUUUUCUUGGUAAUAGGCAAAAAUGUCAAAUUGUUGGCACCACUUUCGAGGGUAAUCAUUGCAAAUAAAACCAGCCUCGAUAGUUCAUAUCUCUCACCACUUCAGCUUUAGAACUAAAUGAACCAUGACAUUUUCAGCUCUAUGUACCUUGGCUCGAAAUAAAUUUCUGCUAUAUCAUAAAACAAGGGAGCUUCAGGAGUUCAUCUCUCAUCCUUUCCCGGCUCCAAAAACUAAUUUCAACAAUAAUACGGCUAAACCACACUCAGUGGUUCAUUAAUCACCUACCUCGAUCCAAGACAAAGUCCACUCGUCAGUGACCAAUUUACUUUCAAAGUCUGCGUAUGAUAUAAAUAAACCAUGCAUAGACUUGGGGGACUAUUGUUACACCUCGCCAUAUGUGGAACUAAGACUAGGACCCUUUUAUCCACGUGGCGCCAAGACCAAGACUCUCUUAUCUACAUGGUGAAGUGGCCGACCCACUCACAAUAUUGGAACCACCUCAAUAAAGCCCCACUCGUAAGCGACGAGGCUAGGAAGAGCAAUCUGAGGCCCAUCUUUCCCGCCAUGUUGAAGUUCAGGGUUCUGAGGCACGUAGCCUCAGAAGAGUCUGAUGCUUUCCACCUGGUGCUGAUCUACGUAAAGAUCCUAAAUCUGUGUGCAAAAUCUUUUAGGAAUGAUUGAUGGGACGCUAAUAAUGAGUAUGAAUGUCAAGUCUUGUCAACAAAAGUGGCGGCUUUGUGUAAGCAUUGAAUGUACCGCGAGCUAGCAGGUCAAAAUUGAUGCUUAUGUUAGAUGCUUGAAUUAAGAAGAUGAUGCCACGUGUACUUCCAUCCAAGGGUGGGUCACUAUUUCAUUUGUAAUAAUAUAAAUACCCCCGAGUAAUGUAAAAAACUAAUGCAACUCUUGAUACGACAAACUACUCGUGUUCUUCUUUCUUGCAAAUAACAUAUUCAUUCAACCACAAAUUUACGUUACAUAGCUUCGAUUAAGUUGUUUGAUAUCGGUGAUCAUAAUACAAUCGUUUCACGAAUCUAUCGCUAGAAUCCGAACGAUUUGACUCAUGACAUUGAGUUUCUCCUAUACUCAAACUUUCGGAGUGUUGCCUGCCAGAAACUCGUGAUCACGUGCCGGAGUUUGCUUUCGUGUGUGCGAGUGAGUGUGACAUCUGUUGUUCAUGUCGUCCUUACAAAAAACAAGGUCAAAGCCACCAACAAAAAUAGAAAAGAGAUAGGCCAAACAAAAUUCGCGAUGGUGUGAGCUUCAUAGAAGAACAAUUAGAUGGAAAUAGAUAAAUAAGAUACGAAUGUUACAACCCCAAAAAAAAAAAAAAGUUAGGUUACAAUACUAUAUAUGUACACACACAACUUAUGCAAGGAUUCCAUAUACGAACUAUUCAAGCUUAAAGAAUAGUGUCUACAACUCACUAGCAAUAAACCAAAUGCAAAAAUACAAAUAUCUUCAUCUAUCAUCAUCAAAUGAUUAUAGAGACAUUCCGUAAGAUAACUAACAUAAAUACACUUAUUUGAAGAAAAAUAAUGCUAACAGAAACAAAUGUGAAGUUAUGGUUCUUUAAAUGUUUAAUUGAUAAUUUUAUUCAUCUAUAAUUACAACAAACGAUUAAUAUUCUCAAGCUACAUUGAGGGUACAUCAAAUCCUAUCAUUAGGUUAGGCAGGCGUUUCGUCUCUGUUCCCAGGAUCAUUUUUCUUUUUACAAAUCUAAAAGAACUUUCAGCAAUCUUGCUAACUCCAUUAUAUUUUAGCUGUAAAGGUAUAUGAUAAGACACGUCACUUAUGUCGAAAACUACAAUAGUUCCUAAAUGCUGAAGUAGUAAAUGUGAAAAUAAUUGGCAGAGAUUAUAUUGAGUUUUAACAUUGUAUAAUAAAUGAGAAAAUGAUGCUGAGGUCAUCAUUUGGUAGAAAAAUGUCUGCUUUCAUUGACAAUAGAGCUGAAUCAGGAAUAGAUCGACAUAUCGUCUCAGUCUCUGGAUCAUUUUUCUUUUACAAAUCUCAAAGGACUUUCUCUUGUUGAUCUUGCUAACUCCAUUAUAGCUUGACUGUGAAGGCAUGUGAUAAGAUAUGUCAGUUACAUUGAAAAUUAAUAGUCACUAAAUGCUGAAGCAAUAAAUCUGAAAAUAAUUGAUAGAUUUUUUUUAUUGAGUCUUAACUUUGUAUAACGAAUGAGAAAAUAACCUUGAGGUCAUCAUCUAGCUGAUAAAUGUCUACUUCCAUUUAUAAUUGACCUAAAUCAGAAAGAGAUUGAGGGGGUGUUUGAUAGACAUUUUUAUGUAAAAAUGUAUUUUAGAAUAGUAAAUUGUCGUGAAAUGUGUGGUUGAAAAUUAAGGAAAUUUUUUUGAUUUACGUGUUAUAUUAUUUUAAUAAAAAAUGUGUAAUUCAAAAGAAGAGAGAGAAAAAUGCAUUUUGAAGAAAAUGACUAUCAAAUGGGGCCUGAAUAAUAUUCUUUGGUUGCAUCGAUGGUAUACCAAAUUCUAUCAUUGAGUUAGGCAAGAAUUUCGUCUCUGUCUCAAGAUCAUUUUUCUUUUUACAAAUCUAAAAUAACAUUCUCUUCUUGAUCUUGCUAACUCCAUUAUAUCAUGGCUUUGAAGGCAUUGUACAAGACAUGUUAGUUACGUCGAAAACUACAAUAGUUCCUAAAUGCUGAAGUAGUAAAUGUGAAAAUAAUUAGUAGAAAUUUCAUUUGAGUUUUUACUUUGUACAAAUUUGAGUUUUUACUUUGUACAAUAAAGGAGAAAAUAAUCUUGAGGUUAUCAUCCGAUAGAUAAAUGUUUGCUUCUGUUGAUAAUUCAGUAGCACAAGUAAAUUCAGUUAACUAAGCAAUUGAGACUUUUGGACUUGCAAAAAUGAGAAAAGUGACAUAGAUUAGCAUGAAAUGAGUAAAUUAUAUUGUUGUUGUUCCUGCCAUUCCAACAUACAAAAGCUUUCGAUAUGUAAAUCCAGCAAGUAAAACCUGUUGUAAAUGGAAGUCCAACCAGUUUACACAAAUUCAACACAAUAUAUUAUCAAAAUUAUCUAAACAUUGAGACAAAACGACAUAAGAAAUUCAUUAACGAAGUCAUUGAACUUGAAUGUACUGGUGAAAUCAAUAAAACUCUAACAAUCACAAGCAUAGCUUGUAGGAAAAUUGAAAAUUCCUUACAUGGCUGCCUUAAAUUGAAGCUCCAAUCCUUAUAAAUAAUACUUCAAAAAGUGAUAAUCAAAUUGUUUUGUACACAUGAAAGCUACAAAUAUAAUGCUGCAAUUCAUAUAGGAAUUAAGCUUUCACCUAUUUCGAUAUGCUUUUCUCUCGCAUAUUCCGACCAACCUACUAUGAAGCAAGGGGUAUGACAAUUCUUCUUACAUUUGCACGAACUUACCAAUUAUUAGUGUAAUUGAAUAUUUUGCACAAAUUUUGGCGGGUGUGGUCCAGCAAAGUUCCUAGGCACAUACUACAAAAUAAAAUAAAACAUUAAAAUUUAUUAUACUUUGAAAAGAUUAACAAAAUAAGUAUAGAUGUAUUUUUUAAUGUGUUUAUUUUAAAAAUGAUAUUACGUAGAAUGAAUUGUAAAGUUGGAAAAGAUGCUAUUAUUGUUAUUUCAAACAUAGGAUUGCAAUAUGAGAAACCUCGAUUUCACAAUCGUCAGACUUGUUUGUUACCUCUAUAGUUGAGUGAUCAGAUAUUGAUACAAUGAAUACAGAAUUUCCAACAUAUUUGAACAAGACAAAAUAACCAUCUUCUAGACUACAUAAUAAAAUUUUUUUACAUCCAUUACCAAGGAAUAUGUCAUCAUUUACCCUCUCCAAUUUAAAAUAUAAAGAUUAUUCCAUCAUAAUCACUUAAACGAACCAUAUCACCAAGUUCAUGUCUUAAUUAUCAAACAAAAGCUCUAAAAUGACUGUAAUAAUCGAAUAGUAAGUGAUCUUUUUCCCAUACUUUACAUUUACUUAUAGCAUAGAUAAAGUUAUUUAAAAGAACUUAGAAUUGUAGGAUUUACCGGUCGAACAUUAUGGCGACAUGAUACUCCAUUAGGUUGGAAAAAGUGUUGUGGUAAAUUAUCAUUAAUUGACAUGAUGAUUGUACAAUAAAUAACAAACAAAUAUUUGAAAAAUUGAAUGUUCAAAAUUAUAAUAUUUUCAUAUGCAAUAUAUUUUAUUUUCCGAUUUUUCACAUCAAUAAAUUAAAUAAAAUUAAGAACAUAAAUUUAAUGGCUGAAAUUUGGGGUUCAGAUGUGAAAUCCACAUUAUACUUAAAUUUAAUAAAUUAAGUGAUAAAAUAAUUUUGUUUAGAUGAAAUAUUAGUGCUUGUUCUAAGGAUAUUAAGAAAUAAUCAAUACGUAAUUAUUUAUUCUUCUGUUUCUUAUUAUUAUUCUUCUUCCAAGCACAAAUUUUGUUAUUAUUGUUGUUAGGAUUUUAUUUUAUUGGCAAUUGAUUAGACAAAAGGACUAAUAUAAAAAAGGAGUCAAUUGAAAUGUCGCAUAGAUGAAAUAGAUAACUUAGGGUUUGCGUUUGGAACAAGGAGGAAAGAGACGUCGGACUUACGCUACCCUAUCAUCAUCCAUCUUAUGCUUGAGUGGAAAAAAGCAACCUUGUUGCCAGCCAGUCGCUGAGCUAUCACCCGAGUGACACGUAGAUCGCUCGCAUAUCGCUAGCUUGAUGCUCGAGUGAUGGUGUUACAUACAAAACUCUAGUUCACGUUUGUCAAGAGUUUUAACUGGCCAUGCUACCUAAAUGUCUCCUACUAUAUAUUCCUAACACUUGACAUGAAUUUGUGGGUGGUUGUUCAUUAUAUUUCUCCUUCAUAACAUCAUUCAAAGAUUUAAGAACAUAAUCAAGCCAUAGAUUAAUCCUUUGAUUCUUGAGUUUAGACAACCACAACUUUGGGAAAAAAAUCAAGUCCACGUAAUGCAAAAUACCCAUUUCCUAUACACAUACAUGAAGGUACUUUGUCAAUAGCUCUCAUAGGUUACUGUUGGACCAAGAUUACAGGAGGAGAACAAGAACAAGGUGUUCUAGGUGAUCUACAGGAGAUAAGACAAUUCCAUAAGAUCAAGAACAAGUGUAAGUGAAGCACGUUCCAGCGAAUCUUGGAGAUUGCAGGAAUUAGAUCAACGAAUCUAUUAAGUUUUCUAGGCUGUACCAUACUGCAAAUUCAUAUUGUCUAUAGUGAAGUUUACUGGCUUGGUCCCCGAGGUUUUACCUAGUUGGAUUUUCUCUGUUAACAUAUUUUGUGUUAUUUAUUUCUUUCAUAUUAUUGAUUGUGGCAAUUAAACCUAGAAUAUAUUGGUUUGAUUGACUAAACAUCUAGAAUAUUAAAAAGUGACUUGCAACCUUUAAUUGUGUAAUUUCGCACGUUGGAUCAAAAUAAAUGGCUAAAUAGAACCUUCAGGUCAAAUUAGUAACUUUCAAGUGUUAUCAGAGUUUUUCAAGUGGUAUCAGAGUCUAAGUUUGAUCCUUGACCCUCUUAGCCUAGAUGAGUCACUCAUUACCUGUUUCUCCUCAUUUUGAUGGAAGUAAUUACACCUAUUGGAAGGUUAGAAUGAGAGCUUUCCUUAAGUCAAUGGAUGAGCAUAUUUGGUUGAGCAUAGUAAAUGUUUGGAUUGUCCCUUCCAGCAUCGUUAAUGAUGUCAUCACCCCCAUUCCUAUUGCGAAUUGGUCAAUAUCUAAUUUCGAUGAGUGCAAUUGGAAUAAUAAAGCCCUACAUGCUUUAUUUAUGGUAGUGUUCCCUGACGAAUUUAGGCAAGUAUCUAUGUGUGAGUUUGCGAAAGAGGUUUGUAAUAUUUUAUAGAUCACACAUCAGAGAACUUAAUCCGUUAAGAACUCCAAGUUACAGAUGUUGACCACUAGAUUUGAACAGAUUAUGAUGAAGGAUGAUGAAAAAUUCGAUGACCUCUAUGCGAGCUUAAAUGACACAGUUAAUUCUAGCUUUACCUAGGUAGGUGAGAGAAUUUCUGAGCCUAAGAUAGUUAGAAAAAUCCUUAGAUCCUUACACGAGAGAUUCAGGCCUAAAAUUACAACUAUAGAGGAGAGCAAGGACAUAGAUGCAAUUAAAGUGAAGAGUCGGUUGGAUCUUUCCGAACUUAUGAACUAACUUUAGCUAAACCUACAAAAGAUAAGUCUUUGGCCUCGAACACUAUUAGGGAUAACUAUAAUGAGUCUUCAGAUUCAGAGUCAUCUAAUGAUAAGGAUGAUGUGAACUUGCGUAGUAGCGAUGGCUACGAAACCUACAAAAUUAAUCCCGAUUUGUGGAUUUAAAUCAAGAACAAUGAACCAAGCAACCCAAACAAGACAACGAUGUGGGUACCUCUUGAUUACACGUUUCAUAAUUUGCACCCGGUGUUGAAUGCCACAAGAUUUUCACCUUGAUAAGUUCAAGUUUGUUCAAAGAAGAACAAAGGCUUGGAAAGCAAGAAUUUGCCUCUCUUUAAUUUCUCUCGAAAUAAUGUUAAAGUUGUUAUAAUGAAUGAAUGAAAAACAUAUUUAUACUAACCCUAGAAACAUAGUAAAAAUGUAAAAUAUUAAUUGAAGAUUACCAAAAUUUGACCAAAAAUAGAAUUCUAACAAAAAAUAAGGAAAUUCACGAAAAGGAAAAUUUUUGGCAUCACUUUAUACCAUACGACCACAUGGUACAUUUUAUUGUGAUCGCACAAGUCAUUCAGGUUGCGCUCUUUUGGCCUCGAUAUACCACCAUGCGAUCGCAUGGUGGUUAACACUGUGCAAUCGCACAAUUCAACCCUUGGGCUCCAACUUCGUCCACGUGCAUUGAGUUGAUCCAAUUGUUUUCAACCUUCGACCCCAACAUGGAACUUGCCUCAUUUCGUGACAUGAUCAACGUCUCAUCAAUUGUUGAUUGACCUAAUAAUCCCAUCGCUUGAUUUGCCCAUUUUACCCUUGAUCGCAUCAUCGGUUUACCUUCGAUAAUCAAUGAAUCUCGUCCUAGGCUCGUCUUCGUUGGGCUUAGUUCUUGGAUCACAUCUUCCCCUCCAUCUUCAAAAGGAUUCGUCCUCGAAUCUGAACCUGUAUCAAAGAGAGAGAGAGAUCAGAUACAGUAAAAGUUGUUGAAACAUUAUACUUACCUGGGAGAUCCAAUUUGUAGGUGUUGUCAUUGAUCUUCUCAACAAAUUGAAAUGGUUCAUCUCCCCGUCAUUGCAACUUUGAUUUUCUUUGAUCUAGAAAGUCCUCAUUUCUGAAAUAUACCCAAACCCAAUUACUUGGUUCUAAGGUCACGCUCUUCUGCAUUUUCACAAAAACUCCAAUGGAGAUAGAUUACACGGAGAAAGUUCUUUAUGCUUCGGCUAUGAGGAGCUACAUGUAUGCUAUGCUUUACUCUUGACCCGAUAUUUGUUAUGCUGUAGAUAUUAUUAGUCAUUAUCAAUUUAAUUUGGGACAAGGACAUUGAAUAACGGUGAAGCAUAUACUCAAUUGUCUUAGGAGAACGAUAGAUUAUAUGUUUAUCUAUUCAGGACAUGGUCUGAAACCUAUUGGAUAUACUGAUUUUGAUUUUCAAUCUGAACGUGACUCUAAAAAGUCUAUGUCGGGUAUAGUAUUUACACGAGGAGGUGAAAUCAUGGUAUGAAGAAAUAUCAAGCAAUAUUUUAUUGUUUAUUCCAUCAUGAAGGUAGAAUAUGUAAUCGCUUAUAAAGCUACUAAAGAAGCUAUGUGAUUCAAGAAGUUUCUUUUGGACCUUGACGUGGUACCUUUGGUACCAAUGCUAAAGAACCAACGAGUCAUCAGUUUUGCAAACACAUUGAGAAAAAAUAUCACCUUAUUAGAGAAAUUGUUCAUCGAGGAGAUGUAAUGAUUAGAAAAAUUGCAUCAACAGAUAAUCUUGCAGAUUCGUUUACCAAGAGCUUACCAGCUAAGGUUUUUUAUGACAUCUUGAGAGGAUGUGUAUUCUUGAUAUGUCACAUAUAUUCGAAAUGAAAAGUGGGAGAUUGUUAGUUUGAUGCCCUUACAGUAGUAUUUUGUAAAACGACAUUAUGAAUUAAUACUCUAUCAUUCGCCUUUUAUAAUUUGAAACAAUUAUCUUUGGUUCAAUGAUUAUAUAGGAUGUCACAAAUUGUAUACUCGAUGACUUGAAUAUAGUGAGACACAAUUUUUGACAUGAUCAAAAUAUAUCGUUCAGAAUCAGUACAUAAAGUUGGAUAACUUUAUGAUGAUAAGAUUGAAUUGUUUUUAUUGAGAUUUGUCUAAAUUUGGAAAUACGAAUAAUAAUGUGUUUGAUACACAUUUUACGGGACUACAUAGAUGACUUAUUUGUGGCCGUUCGAAAUAAGAUUCUACUCUAUUAUCAAACAAGUUACCUAAAUCCUGAGCGAGUAAUGUACAUUUGAUUACUAGUUCAAGUUCUUUAAAGUAUGAAUGAGUGAAAUUUUAAUUAGAAGAUUGGUCUCGAAACUUUGGGAAGCGGGGCGAAAUAGGUAGAGAUAAUAUACUUGCAAUAAUGGAAUCCGAUAAUCAUUACGAUGAGAUGAUCGUCACUUUGAAGUAUUUAUGUAGCCAUUUGAAGCUGAGUUCAGUAGUUUGAUGAUGGGAUCGUUGGACUUUAUGUUGUAAUUAAUUCACAAUGGAUCAUCCUUAUGGAAAUGGGACUUGGACGGCGAUAUAUGUUGAAAGGGCAAAUGGUCCCAUAUUGUUGAUUUCAACAUAUUGACGUUCAAACGGGAUUGACUUGUGGAAUCAUAAUCAAAGGAUAUUGUUAUGGGAUCAUAAAUUGCUUUCAUAAUUAUCACUCUACUCUAGAGUGCAAUAUCAACUUUUUGGUAGAAUGAGUCAAAAGUAAUAGAUAUAUCUUAAUUGGUAAAAAAUUGACCCAAUUAGAAACAUCUAUUGAAGCUUGGGUCUUGUAAGUUUGAUUGGGUCCCUCUUUUAGCUUUAAUAAAUGUGUGUGAUUUAAUUGACCUACUACAAUAAAUUUUAAGAAAAAUUGUGCAAUUAUGAAACCCUAAUUGAAUAUUAUAAAUAUGCCCAUUGUGGACACAUUUCUCAAAAUUUUAGGGUUAGUCACACUUUUUCAUAUUUCCCAAAAGGCACCUAAAAGAGAUCAAUUAAGAAGAUUUAAAGUAGGCUAUUAAAAGUUCCUUCAAGGUUAUCAUGUCACCCUUAUGUGUGUAACGAUUUAAAAACAAAGUCUAAUGGCCUCAAGGUACAUAUAUAUAUAUACACACCAAAAUUUUUAUUUGUUACACCACAUUUUAAUUGCAUUAUGGUCAACAAUCUUUAUUCAUUGUAGUAAUUUAUAUUUUCUUAACCUUUUCCUUGAAUUUUUAUCUUCAACAUUUUAUUAAUUAUUACUUUUUGUCGUCAAUGAUGAUUUAUAUAGGGGAAAUUAUUUUUUCGUACUUUCUUAAUUUAAUUUUAAAAAUAUGAUAGAAAAAUAAGCUUUUUUACGCUGCUUCAAGGGACUUUCGGACAUAAAAAGAUAUAUCAAAUACAAAAUAUGUAUUAACUAAUGAAAGUUUUGAAAACAUAUAUAUAUAUAUAUAUAUAUAUAUAUAUAUAUAUAUAUAUAUAUAUAGUUUUUAUUUCUCAAUAUUUGCUCAUUAUGAUAUUUAUGUCCCUAACGAUUUUUUAUUGCUUUCUUAUAAUCAAAAUUUUCAUUAAUUAACAUAUCUUGUAUUGAUAACAGCUUCUAUCCAAGAGGUCCAUUGAAAUAACGUAUACAACUUAUUUUUCAUCAUACUUAAAAAAUUAAAUAAAAAUGAGUGAAAAAUAUUUUUCCCUUAUUUCAAAGCAUGGAAACAAAAUAUUUUGACAUAAAUUAUUACCAACGAUGAGAUAUACUAAUUAAUAGAAGGUUGAAAGUAAAUAUACGAUGAAAAAAUUAAGAAAAAAUUACUAUAACGAGUAAAAAUUAAGGAGUUUAACUGCAAUUAAUAUGUCGUGUAAUAAAAUAAAAAUUGUAGUGCAAAUACAAUCAUCGUAUAAAAAUUGUAGAUAAAAAUAGUUGUUCCAUUAUAAAAUUAAGGAAAAACGAUCUUUUAAAUUCAAAAGCUCAAGCAAACUUGAAAGUUCAAAAUAAUCAAUUGGAGAAGAAGAUCCAUUAGAGAAAUUAGAUAAUUAUGUUGAUUCUCAAGGCUUUAGAUUUAAGAGAGAGAUUUAAAAAAAAAGGCAGAAAGCAAGAGAGAAAUCGGAGUGUUGGACUUCUUCCAAAUUACUUUGAUGAGAGAGAGAUUGAUUAUUUGAGUUUUUUUUUUUGUUUUUUUUGUGAUUUUUUAUUUUCUGAUGAGAAAUUAGAUUUUUUUUUUCUGUGUUUUGAGUUUUCAAAAGCACUUGAAGAAACAAUAUGUUUUAAAUUUUAUGUUAUAAAUUUAAUUUUGUUUUUAAAAAUAUAUUCUCAAAUAUAUUGAAACUAAACAAAUUUUGAGAAUUUUACAUGAAGAGAAAUGGUGGAAAAAAAGAUGGAUUAAUCUAUUUGUACCAAAUAGUUUACCUAAUGGUUUAUCGAGACAGCCGCCCCUCCAAUAGGGAGCAGCCAACAAUUCGAUAAAUCAUUUGGUACUUGUAGCAUCUUUCGAAAAAGAUUAACGCAUGUGGAGAUGGUUUAGGAACUCAUACGACACCGUAUUGCUUGCAGGUCACCAGUCCUCAUUCUCAACUAAAAAAGAGUCCUCUUUGCUUAACACACAAAAAAGUAUCCGUCUUCACACGAAAAAUUCCCACCGGAGCGCUUCAAUGGAUAACCGAAACGUCGUCGUCUGUGACAAUGGCACUGGGGUAAUUAUUCUCAUCUUCUACAUUUCACUCCUUUGAUCGAUCCACCCAGUAAAAGCAAGACCAAAAUAAUAUACUACUAGUCGGAGUUCAUCGGAAUUUUCUAUAUUUUCAAAUUGAUAUCUAAUGUGUGUUUAUGAAUUGUUAAAUACUUUGAAAUUUUGUUUGAUAUGGAUUCAGUAUGUUAAGUGUGGUUUCGCGGGUGAGAAUUUCCCCACAUCGGUAUUCCCGUGCGUAGUUGGAAGGCCAAUGCUGCGAUACGAAGAAUCUCUUAUGGAACAGGAUCUCAAGGUCGGGUUUUUUCCUCCUCGUGCAUUUGUCUUUGUUUAUACGUUUGUUUCUUUAUUUAUGAAAAAUCACUUCAGUGUUUAGAUCGCACAUAUGAUACAUGUGAGUGUAUAAUGGUGAAGUUAAAUUCAACUUGCCACUACUCUUAUAUUGGAAAACCCAUUAUGUUCUUCUUCGUUUUGGAACAAUUUAAAAUCAUUAGAUAGUUCAUCAAGUAUUGAGAAUUUUAUAAGUAUAAUCAAACCACCACAUGGGUGAGAAUUUUCUUAAAAUCAGAACCUAAGGACAAAGGAGGAGACGAGGCCAAGACUUUCAAAAUAAUAAACAACAAUAAAAGAGACACCACACUUAAUUGAGAUUGAUUUGGAACCAAAUUAACCUAAUUAAAAUCAACCAGGAACCAACACAAAAGACUAAAGACGAGCAAAAUGGCCUGAGGCCUCAAAAGACAAUGAGCAAAAGGAUAAGACAAAAUGCCUCAUGAGCCAAACUAGCAUCCUCUUGAUUUACUUGUAGUCACCAUUCGAUGUUUGGGCUUCAGUUGUGCAAUUAGUUUAAAAUCAUUAUGAUCGGCAUGGAGAGAGGCGGAGUCAACAAUAAAAUCCUCUACAAAGAGCGAUGACAUGAGUCAAUGCUGGGAUGAUAGAUUCUCAAAAUCCUUUUUAUUAUCACAACUACAGAAUUGACAUCUUUUCCCUAUAUUUUCUUCCAAUUAGUACCCAGCAAGACCCAUAAUUGCAAUAUCUUUUUCAACAAUAGUUUUCCCUUAUCCCUAGACAUAGAAGCAAACAAAUCCAUGUUGUCUAAAGAAGGGGAGGAGGAGCUUAGGCAUUCGAGUUCAUAUGGAUAAGGUGAAGAGAACACUGGGGCAAGUAUACUGAUGUUGAUUGUUGCUUGGGUUAUGUUAUGUUUUUUCUUCAGGACAUUGUUGUUGGAGAUACUUGUUUAAAGUACCGGCAUCAAUUGGAUAUAUCUUAUCCUGUCAACAAUGGUAUUGUGCAAAAUUGGGAUGAUAUGGAACAUGUUUGGGACCAUGCUUUUUAUAAUGAACUAAAGGUAAUCUUUUGAUAGCUUAACGUGUCAGUAAAUGUUUUGAGCUUUAUCUUUUAAGUAAUCUUCAGCAUGUGUUAUCUGAUGUAGUUGUAUUCUCAUCAUCUUAUACCCCCCCCUUUUGAAGGUUGAUCCAAAAGAAUGUAAUAUUUUGUUAACCGAUCCACCUCUAAAUCCAUCUAAAAACCGUGAAAAGAUGGUUAGUCUUCUCCUUCUAAAGUCAGGUUUUUAAAAUUUUUCUUGAUUCAGAUUUUUUGUUCUUGAAGACUAUGUGAUUUACACGUUUAAUAUUUCUAUGAUACAGGUUGAGACUAUGUUUGAGAAAUACAACUUUGCUGGUGUAUUCAUCCAAAUUCAAGCUGUUCUAACAUUGUAUGCUCAAGGUGCUUACAUCUAAGUAGUUCGUAGGAGCAUGUGAUACUGUUUAUUUGUUUGCUUGAAAUUACAACAAAUUUAUUAAUUGCUGAAUCAGGAUCAUAAAUAUACUUUGCUUUUUGACAUGUGUUAACAAGCCUCUUGGAAGUCAUGUUUAAUAUAUGGCUAAUUUUUUAUUCGUUGUUAUCUAAAAAUUACUCAGGUUUACUGACGGGACUAGUCAUUGAUUCUGGUGAUGGGGUCACUCACGUGGUAAAAUUUUUAAUAUAACAUAUCUAUUCUGUGUUUUAGGGUAUGUUGCUACUUUGUUACUUUUAUCACAUUCCUGGAAUACAUAUAUAUCUUGUUUAUUUGCUUAAAUGUUCUGGAAAAUAAUAAAGACACUCAAACUUGACAACUGAAUGCGAAAUACGAAUAUGAGGCAAUUUUGCAAAGUGUGAUUAUAAUGUCAUUGUUGUGUGUGUGUGUAAAGCAUUCAUUGGUUUUGUGAAAUGAAAACUAGUGUUCAGUUUCUUCAUGUAUCCAUUAAGGGAAUGUUUCUAUGUAAUCUAGCAUUGAUAUAUAAUUCAAAGUUAAUAUAAAAAAAGCAUAUAAAUCAGUCUCAAAAUAUAAUUUUAGUCUCUCACUAAUCAGUGUACUGGAAAAAUAAUAAGUGUGAUGCAAUAUCUUUCACAUUGAUAUGAUGACACCUAAACUAAUCCACAAGCGAUAAAGGGUAGUGCAGAUCUAUAAUGUUGGUUUGGUAUCAUUGGUGUUAGCAAAUUUUCAUCAUUUGAUUUAAGUGGUUAGUUAAGUCUCUAACCCAGAAAAGUUGAUUAAUUUUGGAGUAGGAUUAGUGAUUGUAACUCUGUGGUUUCUCCAGGUUCCAGUAGUCGAUGGAUACUCAUUUCCUCAUCUUACUAAAAGAAUGAAUGUAGCUGGACGCCACAUAACAUCAUAUCUUGUUGAUUUGCUUCUUAGAAGGGGGUGAGUAUUCUUAGAAUUCAAAAAUCAGUAAACUGCAGUAUCCUUGUUGGUUGUCAAAUGAUUCUUCGAAAUUAAUGGAUACCACUUUGUCUCUGAAGGUACGCGAUGAAUAGAACUGCUGACUUUGAGACUGUUAGGGAUAUCAAAGAGAAGCUCUGCUACAUAAGGUGAAUUGGUCUUCAUAUUUUCGUGGGCUUGUAACUUAACAUAAAUGUUUUAAUGAAUUGUCUAGUUUGCUGCAGUUAUGAUUACAAAAGAGAAUAUCAACUGGGACUUGAGACUACUAUCCUCGUAAAGAAUUACACAGUAAGUUAUCGUUGCUCCGAUGACCCAAGAAAUUUGAAAUUACGAAGUUUAAGAAUCCUUUGUCUUUAUGCAUAUCCAUACACUCAUUUGACAUGCAUCUUAUUUCAUAUUUGAAUAGCGAUAAAUUUCUUAGAAUUUUACUGAAGUAGUGUUGAUCAAGAAAGACCGUUUCGAAUUUGAUAUCAUAAUCUUAGUAGUUUUCAUUUCUACUCAACUUUUCUAUGAGCACGUUACCCAAUAAUUUCAUGAUGUGUUUGAUUGUGUUUUUUAAUGAAAUAAAUAUAUUAGAAUAACAUGGAUUAGAGGAGAGUAUAAUUGGGUUUAUUUUAUUACCAUAUUUGUAUCUAUUUCCAUACAUGUACUUUUGAUUUCACUAUAUAAUGAAAGUGAAGGAGACGAAGGUAUCUAUCUUAUUCCCUCUCGUGUUUAUAUCAAUCUGUCUCAACAUGGUAUUAGAGCAAGGUUCCUAGGGUUUGAGUCUGCAUCUCUGUCUUCUCUACAUCUACCGUUUGACCAAAUUUGAAGCAUGCAUCUUCGUCGCUAUGUCUACAUCUGCAUCACCUGUUUCACAUUUGCUGCCGGGUUUGGAGUGUGUCGUGUCUUCGUCUAUUAUCUGGUAUUUCUUGUGUGGGAUGUGGUUCUGUGGUGAUUUCCCCAUUAGCAGUCAGUGAAGUCGGAAGCUGAGAAAAUUCGUCGUGGCUGUUGCGACAAGGAGGGAGAGAAAACAAAUCUGGGUUGAGGUUUGAUUUGGGCCAAUUUUUUUUAUUUCAACCACUAUUGGGCCAUUAUUUUAAGCUGGUCACUUGGGCUUCCUUAAUUCCUAUUGGUUUUACUAAUAUAACAUUUCUAUUGAGAUGGGUUUAAUUGGCUUUAUUGUUGAUGUUGGUCCAUGUGCUCAUUUAAUUUUGGGCUUGUUGAUGUUGGUUUAAUUCCUGUUGGUUUUAUUGUUGGAUUGGUUUGUAGAUAGUAUCACGUCAACCAAGAUAGAAAUGUUUAAUCUGACGGGACCUAUGACACCUAAAAAGUUGAAUGAAAGAAAUUACACUUACUGAACUAAGUGUGUCGAGGUCUUUUUGCAGGGUAAGGGUUUAUUUUACCACUUGAUUUUGGACAAGCCGUGGACCAAGUCCUCAAAAGGUGAUUCUGCAAAAGUUGAUUCUGCUCUCAGUGAUUAAUGGGAUCAAGACGAUAAUACAAUAAUUGGACUUAUGAUCAGUAGCAUUGAACCUCAUAUUAGGUUUUCAUUCCUCUACGUGUCUACGGUGAAGCAAAAUUAUGAGCAUCUCAAACAUAUACAUUCUUGAAUUUGAAAUGUUAUUCGAAUUUAUGAGGUGUAAACAAUACUUUGGACUUGAGAAAGGCUCUUCCAACCUCAUUGAAUAUUAUAAUAAGCUUUUCGCUAUGUGUCGUGGGAAGAAUGCCAUCCUUGUGGUAGUGGAUAGGCUGUCCAAGUAUGCGAUUUCAUUGGAGUGAGCCAUCCCUUUACAGCUAAGAAACUAGCAGAAGUAUAAGUUGACAAUGGGGCUCGCCUCCAUUGUAUUCCUCGCACCAUUCUUAGUGACCUUGAUGCUUUAUUUACUAGUAAUUUCUGGCAAGAAUUCUUUAAGCUGCAAGGAACACAGCUCAAGAUGUCUUCUACAUAUCACCCGAAAACUGAUAGACAAACCGAAGUGGUGAACAGGAGCCUUUAGCAAUACCUUCGCUGCUUGUCCAGUGAAGCAACAAAGCAGUGGAGUCGUGAUCUUCCUUGGGCGGAAUUUUGUUAUAAUACCACAUUCCAUCGUCAUAUCGGGCUCAUCCCAUUCCAAACUUUGUAUGGGAGACCACCACCAAUCAUAACCAGAUAUUUACCGAGAAGCGUAGCAGUGCAAGAGGUAGAAAGAGAGUUAUGCAAUCGGGACGAGCUGCUCAAGCAACUAAAGCAGAAUUUAGAAAGGGCCAGAAAUUGAAUGGAGCUACAAUCAGUGUUCCAUAUAUUGUGUCUCAACAAUCAGUGUUUAAAAGAGCUAAUCAGAAGCUUGCUAGCAAGUACUUUGGACCUUAUCGAGUCUUAGAAAAGAUAGGUGCAGUGGCGCCUACAAGUUGAAGUUGCCAGAAAACUCGAAAGUUCAUCCUGUGUUCCAUAUAUUGUGCCUCAAGAAGCAUAUAGGAGAAGGGGAAAUUACACAAAGCAUGGCCCUACCAGUUUCAGAGGAAGGAUCUUUGGUGCUGGAACCCGUUGCUGUCAAAUACUCCAGUUGGGUGAAGCAGGGGAGCAGAUGGGGAGCGGAAGUAUUAAUCCAAUGGAAGUACUUGCCUGAGGAAGAAGCUACUUGGGAAUCUACUAGGCUGAUGGAGUUCGACCUUAAGGGCAAGGUUGAAGUCCCAACGGCGGCAGACGUUAGACUCCAAAGAAACAGGAAGGCCAAUCCAAAGUAUUCGGUUGUGUUGACCGCAGAACAAAGAGGACCAAUUCAGAGGGCGAAUGGCAGGGGAACUGGAGCUAAUUAAAGGAUGUCCCCCACUAAGUGCUUGCAUUUAACGCAGAGUGGAGUUAUGUUUGAGUUUAUUUAGGGAGUAAUCGUUGGUUGAGUUUCUAUAAAUAGGUCUUUAGGCAGUAGAGUAGGGUAGCUUUUGAAUUAAUUGUAAUUGUGGUUUGCUCCAGCCCUAAUUGGAAAAUUUCUAUUGCAACUCGGUACUUUCUUCUUGAGUUAUUGCAGAGUCGUUUUCAACAAGUUCACACCUUAUUUCUCUAAUUAUAAAUGUCUUCUGACUCGAAUCAAGAUCCCGUUCGCUUACCUGUCCCUUAUCUACCAGUUGGUAUUUCUCCAGAACUAAACUCGCCUUUGCCUAAUUCACCCGAGUUGUCCUCCUCCCAUAAGGAACCAUCUCCUCCUUUACAAGUUGAUACUUGACGAUCUAAGCCAUCAACACUUGUGACUCCAUUCGUUACCUUGCCACCUACAGAUCCUACAUCUAUCAUCUAUCCUGGUCCCGAGUCAUUGCCCAUUGCUCUUUGUAAAGGUAAACGUAAUUGUAUAACUAAACAUCUUCUUAGUCACUAUGUCAAAUUUUGAAUCGUUGUUACCUUCGUUUUCCUAUUUCACAUCCCACGUUUCUAGUGUUUUUGUUACUAAGACAGUGAUAGAAGCUUUAUCUGAUCUUGGGUUGCGAUAGGCUAAGGAACUGGAAGUGGAAGCUUGCUCAAGAAUAGGACUUGGGAUCUCAUUCCUUCACUACUUGGAAUACAUCCUGUUGGUAACGGAUGGGUCUUUGUUCCGAAAUUUAAUCCUGUCUGGAUGUUGAUUGCUUGAAGGCCCGAUUGGUUGCUAAAAAUAUACUCAGACCUAUGAUAUUGAUUAUGAUGAAACAUUCUCUCCAGUUGUUAAGAUCUCUUCUAUUCAUGUUUUGAAAUAUAUUGCUGCCGAAGCAAUCAGGGAGAGCACUAGAACUAUGUUUGUAGAUUAAAAAAGCUUUAUAUGGGCUAAAGCAAUCACCGAGAUCAUGUUUUCGAAUGUUUUCUGAGGUUGUUCUGGAAUUUGGUCUUCAAGGCUGUCAGACAGAUUAUUUGGUAUUUCAUCUACAUACUGAUACAAGUUAUAUUAUCCUUGUAAUUUAUGUAGAUAUUAUAAUCACUAACUACAAAUAGGAUUUCUAAAAAAACGUUUUCAAACUAAAGAUCUAGGCAAGCUCUGAUAUUUCUUGGGCAUUGAAGUUGCUAGGUUACGGGCUGGCAUUUACUUGUUAUAGAGAAAAUAUGUACUUGACCUGUUAGAUGAGAGUUUUUUUGUAACUUGUCCAGUUGAUACUUCCAUGGAUUCUAAUGUGAAAUUUUUUAAGGAUAAAGGAGAAUUGUUUGGAUAACCAAGAAAAUAUUAUCGUUUGACUGAAAACUUGAAUUAUCUUUCCAUCGCAUGACCAGAUAUUCCUAUGCAAUUUGGGCGUCAUUAGUCAAUUCUUGAAUGCUCCUCAGGUGUCUUAUUGGGAAGUUGUGAUGUGUAUUCUUCAGUAUUUGAAAAAUGCUCUAGACCUUGGAUUACUAUAUUAUCAGAAUAGAAGGGUAUACAAAUGCAGAUUGGGUAGGAUCUCCGUCAGAUAGAUGAUCCACUACAGGUACUUUUCUCGAUGGUAAUCUUGUUUUAUGGAAAAGUAAGAAACAAAUUAUAGUAGUAAGGUCAAGUGCAGAAACAGAAUAUAGGACGAUGACUCAUACUACUAAUGAGUUGACAUGGUUGCAGCACUUUCUUCAAGAAAUCGGUCUCUCACCUUCUACCCCCAUUCUAAUGUUUUGUGAUAAUUAAGAUGCUCUACAUAUUAUGGCCCUGUAUGAGCCCCAUUUUUACCUCAUUAAAAUGAAAAAUAUGACUGUUAUCCAUCAUAUCAAGCCACCAUUUUUGAAUUUCUAUCUCUUGUGUGGGACUUAUAACGGCUCUAUUUUUCAUUCUCAUUCUACAAAUAAUGUGGCUCAAACGGGCUCUAUAUCUAAUCCAGUCUUCAUGAAAGAACCAAGUACAUUGAAGUUGAUUGUCACUUUGUUCGAGACAAAAUGAUGAAUGACGAUAUAUAUACACCAUUUAUGAAGACAGGAGAUUAACUUAUUGAUAUGUUUACAAAGUCGGUGAACGGAAAUUGAUUGAGGUUUCUUUGUUCCAAAUUGGGUUUAUAUGAUAUACAUGUUCUAGUUUGAGGGGGAGUGUUGAGGAAAUAAAUAUAUUAGAAUAACAUAGAUUAGGGGAGAGUAUAAUUGGGUUUAUUUUGUUUCCAUAUUUAUAUCUAUUUCCAUAUGUGUAUUUUUUAUUUCACUAUAUAAUGAAAGUGAAGGAGAUGAAGAUACAUCUAUCUUAUUCUCUCCCUUGUUUAUACCAACCUUUGUCUCAACAUUAUUUUUAUAAUUGGGGAUGUUAUAAUUAACAGCUGCCAGAUGGAAGGGUCAUUAAAGUUGGCACAGAGCGGUUUCAAGCACCUGAAGCUCUUUUUACUCCGGUAAGAAUAUACCUGCCAUUUACCAUAUAUAUACCUUGUAAGGUCAAAGCAUGUUUUUGUUAAAUGUUGAAAUUGGGUUAUAUGUCCUGUCUACUAUUUCUUUAUGUGAUAUUUUGGAUAAAUGUGGCCAUAUCAUACCACUGAUUCUUGUGGUUUAAUAUAUUUGCUGCAUUGCUCAGUACAGUAAUGUGUGUCCGAUAUUGCCUUUUUUAAAGCUGCAAAUUGGUGGCAUGAGUAAUUAAGACAAAAGCUUAACAUGUUUAGUAUUUUGCUGCCUUGCUUAGGACAGUAAGGUGUGUAAUUUAAUAUUGCCUCUUUAAAACUGCGAAUUGGUGGUAUGAGUAAUUAAGAGUUAAGACUAAAGCUUAAGUUCAUGAAAAAUAGAUGGCAGAUUCCGAUCAUGUUCUCCAAUUAUAGCUGACCUGUAAUAUAUAUUUUUUAAUUGUGAUUAGCUCCAUGGCAUCAAUGUAUUCAAGUAUUGGUUUACACUGCCGUAAAACCUUUAUCAUGGAUUAAAAAUAAACUCUAGAUGGUAUAUUUUUUAUAGGAACUCAUAGACGUUGAAGGAGAUGGGAUGGCUGACAUGGUAUUUCGUUGCAUUCAGGAAAUGGAUAUCGACAAUCGAAUGAUGGUAUUAAAUUUUUUUUAACUGAAACAUCUAAUAUAUUGCGUUGUUUAAUUUCUCAUGCAAUAUUGAUCCCUUGUCUUGCAGCUCUACCAACAUAUCGUUUUGAGUGGAGGAAGCACGAUGUAUCCUGGAUUACCUAGUCGGUAAACCAUGAAAUUCCUCUUUACUUCAUAUAAAGCUACAUCUUUUUGUCUGUGUUCUGUAAUUAUGAUCCCAAUCCUUAAAUAUUUCUCAUGUACCUCUUUUUAUUUUCUUGACCAAAGAACCUAUAUUUAAUGGACCACGUAUCUGUCUUGGGAUGAAUUAUUAAGUCAUGUGUGUGUGUGUGUGCGUGCGCGCACGCCAUGUAUAAUUCCAGUGAUUUGAGGGGUGACUAGUUAUAAAUAAGGUAUGAUCUGCAUAAAGUCUAGGAAUGUGAUCUGCCAAUGACCAUUUCGGAUAAAAUUUUAUUUAUGUUAGUAAAAAUUUGUUCCUGAAAUGCAUAAUAUAUUUUUGGAUAACUAAAUGAUGUUUUAGCUAUUUUAUUUACUUUGUUAUAUAGUAUAGCUAAUUCAUGGGGCACCACAUAUCGGUUGGCAUGAGAAUUCUCUUGGCUUUGUGAUUCUAAUGCUUGCUGAGCUCUGUAUAUUGUCAUGGGCAUGUCAAGUAGAUAACUCAUGUUUUUGCAUCUGUGAAACUUUUCCUUUUCUUCAGCCUAGAGAAAGAAAUUUUGGAUCGCUAUCUUGAAGUUGUUUUGAAGGGAAACAGAGAUGGGUUGAAGGUAAAUUUACCUCAACUUCAUUAUUUAUAUGCACCUUGAAAAUUUGGACCUCUAUCCUGUGGGCAUCUUCUAUUUGCAAUCUCCUCAUUCUUUUAUCUUCCUCUUUUCACCAAGUGAAUGAAGUCUUCUUUUGUCGUUCCUAAAACAGAAACUACGUCUGAGGAUAGAGGAUCCACCACGAAGAAAGCAUAUGGUGUAUCUUGGAGGUGCAGUUCUUGCAGGAAUCAUGAAGGUUGGGUUCAUGCUCUCUCUCAACUCUCCCUUCCCUGACACAACAUCAUUCAUGUGUGCACAACGCUUAAAACUGUUUCUUUUAACAAGUUAACAUCGGUUUCUUAGUACUCAAAUAAAGUCCACAAUGAUCUUCUUGGCGCUUUUUGAAGAUGGACAUAUGUAGCAAUAUCUACUGCAUGGAAAUAAUUUUUGUUUCCUAAGUGUUUGGAUGUUAAACUUUUUUAAGCGCAGUCAAACAUACUAAUAGUUUCCUACUCACGUGAUUGUAAAAAUCGAGAUCAUUUAACAAUAUUGCAGGAUGCACCUGAAUUCUGGAUUAGCAGGCAAGAUUAUUUGGAAGAGGGAGUUGCUUGUUUAAGCAAAUGUGGCCAGGCGUAAACUUUAUCAUUUGUUAGAUUUUAUCGCCACUUCAUUUCCUCCCUAACAAAAGCAUAAGAAGAUGAACAACUCCAUGUAUCAUUGACAGAAGUUGAGUUGCCAUUGAAGAGUAGCUAGGUAAUGAGCCAGUGAAAUGAACGAGGAAGCAUUUGCAGUGAUGUAGCUUGUAAUUGAUGUAUUUUUUUAUAUUAAUUGAAAAUGAAAGGUUUUUUUCCUUUUUUUUUUUUCCUCAUUGGAGUAAUAUUUAGUUUUACCGUUGUUUAUUCGACAGUAAAAUAGAGCUUGUGAUCCAUAUCAUAUGCUACGUGUGACACGUGUAACAGUUCAAACACUUAUUAAUGUUUUUACAAGUAUAUGCAUUCCAUUAUCAAACUCAAAUAAAUGCACAACUUCACCUUUGAUUUUAUUUCUUUAAUGAUUAUCAUGUCAUGUUAAAUUACAUGAAUACCAAACUGUACAUUGUAUGUCUCCCUCCAUGGGCUUACCACAUCAUCAUCACAUAAUGGACGUUUUUGUUUCAUAUAGUGUCUCGUUACACCAAGCAUGACAAUCGACUCUUUCGAUACUAAAUGUACACUAUUCCACAUAACGUGAUGUUCAUAGAAUGUGUAACAUUUCAAACAAGCGUCAUACUAUGCUAUAUUACAACUACUGGAUGCCCAAAACAAGCGAUCCAUUUCAAACGACAACGAUGUAGUGAUCUCCUAUAAACCUAUAUGUAUUGAUUUGUACUACAAUAUGGAAUAAUAUGCAACGUAUCAUCAGAUGUAUACCUCAAUCACCACUCCAAUUACUUAAACCUGUUCUGUGUUGUAGUGCAUUGUAGUACAUGCUUUAUUUUGUUGAUUAUCCUAUUUUAUGUCUUAUAUGCACUUUAUUUUUCAAAUUCGACAAAUCAAAGAUUUGUACGGUGAAGCAAAAUUAUGAGCAUCUCAAACAUAUACAUUCUUGAAUUUGAAAUGUUAUUCGAAUUUAUGAGGUGUAAACAAUACUUUGGACUUGAGAAAGGCUCUUCCAACCUCAUUGAAUAUUAUAAUAAGCUUUUCGCUAUGUGUCGUGGGAAGAAUGCCAUCCUUGUGGUAGUGGAUAGGCUGUCCAAGUAUGCGAUUUCAUUGGAGUGAGCCAUCCCUUUACAGCUAAGAAACUAGCAGAAGUAUAAGUUGACAAUGGGGCUCGCCUCCAUUGUAUUCCUCGCACCAUUCUUAGUGACCUUGAUGCUUUAUUUACUAGUAAUUUCUGGCAAGAAUUCUUUAAGCUGCAAGGAACACAGCUCAAGAUGUCUUCUACAUAUCACCCGAAAACUGACAGACAAACCGAAGUGGUGAACAGGAGCCUUUAGCAAUACCUUCGCUGCUUGUCCAGUGAAGCAACAAAGCAGUGGAGUCGUGAUCUUCCUUGGGCGGAAUUUUGUUAUAAUACCACAUUCCAUCGUCAUAUCGGGCUCAUCCCAUUCCAAACUUUGUAUGGGAGACCACCACCAAUCAUAACCAGAUAUUUACCGAGAAGCGUAGCAGUGCAAGAGGUAGAAAGAGAGUUAUGCAAUCGGGACGAGCUGCUCAAGCAACUAAAGCAGAAUUUAGAAAGGGCCAGAAAUUGAAUGGAGCUACAAUCAGUGUUCCAUAUAUUGUGUCUCAACAAUCAGUGUUUAAAAGAGCUAAUCAGAAGCUUGCUAGCAAGUACUUUGGACCUUAUCGAGUCUUAGAAAAGAUAGGUGCAGUGGCGCCUACAAGUUGAAGUUGCCAGAAAACUCGAAAGUUCAUCCUGUGUUCCAUAUAUUGUGCCUCAAGAAGCAUAUAGGAGAAGGGGAAAUUACACAAAGCAUGGCCCUACCAGUUUCAGAGGAAGGAUCUUUGGUGCUAGAACCCGUUGCUGUCAAAUACUCCAGUUGGGUGAAGCAGGGGAGCAGAUGGGGAGCGGAAGUAUUAAUCCAAUGGAAGUACUUGCCUGAGGAAGAAGCUACUUGGGAAUCUACUAGGCUGAUGGAGUUCGACCUUAAGGGCAAGGUUGAAGUCCCAACGGCGGCAGACGUUAGACUCCAAAGAAACAGGAAGGCCAAUCCAAAGUAUUCGGUUGUGUUGACCGCAGAACAAAGAGGACCAAUUCAGAGGGCGAAUGGCAGGGGAACUGGAGCUAAUUAAAGGAUGUCCCCCACUAAGUGCUUGCAUUUAACGCAGAGUGGAGUUAUGUUUGAGUUUAUUUAGGGAGUAAUCGUUGGUUGAGUUUCUAUAAAUAGGUCUUUAGGCAGUAGAGUAGGGUAGCUUUUGAAUUAAUUGUAAUUGUGGUUUGCUCCAGCCCUAAUUGGAAAAUUUCUAUUGCAACUCGGUACUUUCUUCUUGAGUUAUUGCAGAGUCGUUUUCAACAAGUUCACACCUUAUUUCUCUAAUUAUAAAUGUCUUCUGACUCGAAUCAAGAUCCCGUUCGCUUACCUGUCCCUUAUCUACCAGUUGGUAUUUCUCCAGAACUAAACUCGCCUUUGCCUAAUUCACCCGAGUUGUCCUCCUCCCAUAAGGAACCAUCUCCUCCUUUACAAGUUGAUACUUGACGAUCUAAGCCAUCAACACUUGUGACUCCAUUCGUUACCUUGCCACCUACAGAUCCUACAUCUAUCAUCUAUCCUGGUCCCGAGUCAUUGCCCAUUGCUCUUUGUAAAGGUAAACGUAAUUGUAUAACUAAACAUCUUCUUAGUCACUAUGUCAAAUUUUGAAUCGUUGUUACCUUCGUUUUCCUAUUUCACAUCCCACGUUUCUAGUGUUUUUGUUACUAAGACAGUGAUAGAAGCUUUAUCUGAUCUUGGGUUGCGAUAGGCUAAGGAACUGGAAGUGGAAGCUUGCUCAAGAAUAGGACUUGGGAUCUCAUUCCUUCACUACUUGGAAUACAUCCUGUUGGUAACGGAUGGGUCUUUGUUCCGAAAUUUAAUCCUGUCUGGAUGUUGAUUGCUUGAAGGCCCGAUUGGUUGCUAAAAAUAUACUCAGACCUAUGAUAUUGAUUAUGAUGAAACAUUCUCUCCAGUUGUUAAGAUCUCUUCUAUUCAUGUUUUGAAAUAUAUUGCUGCCGAAGCAAUCAGGGAGAGCACUAGAACUAUGUUUGUAGAUUAAAAAAGCUUUAUAUGGGCUAAAGCAAUCAUCGAGAUCAUGUUUUCGAAUGUUUUCUGAGGUUGUUUUGGAAUUUGGUCUUCAAGGCUGUCAGACAGAUUAUUUGGUAUUUCAUCUACAUACUGAUACAAGUUAUAUUAUCCUUGUAAUUUAUGUAGAUAUUAUAAUCACUAACUACAAAUAGGAUUUCUAAAAAAACGUUUUCAAACUAAAGAUCUAGGCAAGCUCUGAUAUUUCUUGGGCAUUGAAGUUGCUAGGUUACGGGCUGGCAUUUACUUGUUAUAGAGAAAAUAUGUACUUGACCUGUUAGAUGAGAGUUUUUUUGUAACUUGUCCAGUUGAUACUUCCAUGGAUUCUAAUGUGAAAUUUUUUAAGGAUAAAGGAGAAUUGUUUGGAUAACCAAGAAAAUAUUAUCGUUUGACUGAAAACUUGAAUUAUCUUUCCAUCGCAUGACCAGAUAUUCCUAUGCAAUUUGGGCGUCAUUAGUCAAUUCUUGAAUGCUCCUCAGGUGUCUUAUUGGGAAGCUGUGAUGUGUAUUCUUCAGUAUUUGAAAAAUGCUCUAGACCUUGGAUUACUAUAUUAUCAGAAUAGAAGGGUAUACAAAUGCAGAUUGGGUAGGAUCUCCGUCAGAUAGAUGAUCCACUACAGGUACUUUUCUCGAUGGUAAUCUUGUUUUAUGGAAAAGUAAGAAACAAAUUAUAGUAGUAAGGUCAAGUGCAGAAACAGAAUAUAGGACGAUGACUCAUACUACUAAUGAGUUGACAUGGUUGCAGCACUUUCUUCAAGAAAUCGGUCUCUCACCUUCUACCCCCAUUCUAAUGUUUUGUGAUAAUUAAGAUGCUCUACAUAUUAUGGCCCUGUAUGAGCCCCAUUUUUACCUCAUUAAAAUGAAAAAUAUGACUGUUAUCCAUCAUAUCAAGCCACCAUUUUUGAAUUUCUAUCUCUUGUGUGGGACUUAUAACGGCUCUAUUUUUCAUUCUCAUUCUACAAAUAAUGUGGCUCAAACGGGCUCUAUAUCUAAUCCAGUCUUCAUGAAAGAACCAAGUACAUUGAAGUUGAUUGUCACUUUGUUCGAGACAAAAUGAUGAAUGACGAUAUAUAUACACCAUUUAUGAAGACAGGAGAUUAACUUAUUGAUAUGUUUACAAAGUCGGUGAACGGAAAUUGAUUGAGGUUUCUUUGUUCCAAAUUGGGUUUAUAUGAUAUACAUGUUCUAGUUUGAGGGGGAGUGUUGAGGAAAUAAAUAUAUUAGAAUAACAUAGAUUAGGGGAGAGUAUAAUUGGGUUUAUUUUGUUUCCAUAUUUAUAUCUAUUUCCAUAUGUGUAUUUUUUAUUUCACUAUAUAAUGAAAGUGAAGGAGAUGAAGAUACAUCUAUCUUAUUCUCUCCCUUGUUUAUACCAACCUUUGUCUCAACAUUAUUUUUAUAAUUGGGGAUGUUAUAAUUAACAGCUGCCAGAUGGAAGGGUCAUUAAAGUUGGCACAGAGCGGUUUCAAGCACCUGAAGCUCUUUUUACUCCGGUAAGAAUAUACCUGCCAUUUACCAUAUAUAUACCUUGUAAGGUCAAAGCAUGUUUUUGUUAAAUGUUGAAAUUGGGUUAUAUGUCCUGUCUACUAUUUCUUUAUGUGAUAUUUUGGAUAAAUGUGGCCAUAUCAUACCACUGAUUCUUGUGGUUUAAUAUAUUUGCUGCAUUGCUCAGUACAGUAAUGUGUGUCCGAUAUUGCCUUUUUUAAAGCUGCAAAUUGGUGGCAUGAGUAAUUAAGACAAAAGCUUAACAUGUUUAGUAUUUUGCUGCCUUGCUUAGGACAGUAAGGUGUGUAAUUUAAUAUUGCCUCUUUAAAACUGCGAAUUGGUGGUAUGAGUAAUUAAGAGUUAAGACUAAAGCUUAAGUUCAUGAAAAAUAGAUGGCAGAUUCCGAUCAUGUUCUCCAAUUAUAGCUGACCUGUAAUAUAUAUUUUUUAAUUGUGAUUAGCUCCAUGGCAUCAAUGUAUUCAAGUAUUGGUUUACACUGCCGUAAAACCUUUAUCAUGGAUUAAAAAUAAACUCUAGAUGGUAUAUUUUUUAUAGGAACUCAUAGACGUUGAAGGAGAUGGGAUGGCUGACAUGGUAUUUCGUUGCAUUCAGGAAAUGGAUAUCGACAAUCGAAUGAUGGUAUUAAAUUUUUUUUAACUGAAACAUCUAAUAUAUUGCGUUGUUUAAUUUCUCAUGCAAUAUUGAUCCCUUGUCUUGCAGCUCUACCAACAUAUCGUUUUGAGUGGAGGAAGCACGAUGUAUCCUGGAUUACCUAGUCGGUAAACCAUGAAAUUCCUCUUUACUUCAUAUAAAGCUACAUCUUUUUGUCUGUGUUCUGUAAUUAUGAUCCCAAUCCUUAAAUAUUUCUCAUGUACCUCUUUUUAUUUUCUUGACCAAAGAACCUAUAUUUAAUGGACCACGUAUCUGUCUUGGGAUGAAUUAUUAAGUCAUGUGUGUGUGUGUGUGUGCGUGCGUGCGCGCACGCCAUGUAUAAUUCCAGUGAUUUGAGGGGUGACUAGUUAUAAAUAAGCUAUGAUCUGCAUAAAGUCUAGGAGUGUGAUCUGCCAAUGACCAUUUCGGAUAAAAUUUUAUUUAUGUUAGUAAAAAUUUGUUCCUGAAAUGCAUAAUAUAUUUUUGGAUAACUAAAUGAUGUUUUAGCUAUUUUAUUUACUUUGUUAUAUAGUAUAGCUAAUUCAUGGGGCACCACAUAUCGGUUGGCAUGAGAAUUCUCUUGGCUUUGUGAUUCUAAUGCUUGCUGAGCUCUGUAUAUUGUCAUGGGCAUGUCAAGUAGAUAACUCAUGUUUUUGCAUCUGUGAAACUUUUCCUUUUCUUCAGCCUAGAGAAAGAAAUUUUGGAUCGCUAUCUUGAAGUUGUUUUGAAGGGAAACAGAGAUGGGUUGAAGGUAAAUUUACCUCAACUUCAUUAUUUAUAUGCACCUUGAAAAUUUGGACCUCUAUCCUGUGGGCAUCUUCUAUUUGCAAUCUCCUCAUUCUUUUAUCUUCCUCUUUUCACCAAGUGAAUGAAGUCUUCUUUUGUCGUUCCUAAAACAGAAACUACGUCUGAGGAUAGAGGAUCCACCACGAAGAAAGCAUAUGGUGUAUCUUGGAGGUGCAGUUCUUGCAGGAAUCAUGAAGGUUGGGUUCAUGCUCUCUCUCAACUCUCCCUUCCCUGACACAACAUCAUUCAUGUGUGCACAACGCUUAAAACUGUUUCUUUUAACAAGUUAACAUCGGUUUCUUAGUACUCAAAUAAGGUCCACAAUGAUCUUCUUGGCGCUUUUUGAAGAUGGACAUAUGUAGCAAUAUCUACUGCAUGGAAAUAAUUUUUGUUUCCUAAGUGUUUGGAUGUUAAACUUUUUUAAGCGCAGUCAAACAUACUAAUAGUUUCCUACUCACGUGAUUGUAAAAAUCGAGAUCAUUUAACAAUAUUGCAGGAUGCACCUGAAUUCUGGAUUAGCAGGCAAGAUUAUUUGGAAGAGGGAGUUGCUUGUUUAAGCAAAUGUGGCCAGGCGUAAACUUUAUCAUUUGUUAGAUUUUAUCGCCACUUCAUUUCCUCCCUAACAAAAGCAUAAGAAGAUGAACAACUCCAUGUAUCAUUGACAGAAGUUGAGUUGCCAUUGAAGAGUAGCUAGGUAAUGAGCCAGUGAAAUGAACGAGGAAGCAUUUGCAGUGAUGUAGCUUGUAAUUGAUGUAUUUUUUUAUAUUAAUUGAAAAUGAAAGGUUUUUUUCCUUUUUUUUUUUUUUCCUCAUUGGAGUAAUAUUUAGUUUUACCGUUGUUUAUUCGACAGUAAAAUAGAGCUUGUGAUCCAUAUCAUAUGCUACGUGUGACACGUGUAACAGUUCAAACACUUAUUAAUGUUUUUACAAGUAUAUGCAUUCCAUUAUCAAACUCAAAUAAAUGCACAACUUCACCUUUGAUUUUAUUUCUUUAAUGUUUAUCAUGUCAUGUUAAAUUACAUGAAUACCAAACUGUACAUUGUAUGUCUCCCUCCAUGGGCUUACCACAUCAUCAUCACAUAAUGGACGUUUUUGUUUCAUAUAGUGUCUCAUUACACCAAGCAUGACAAUCGACUCUUUCGAUACUAAAUGUACACUAUUCCACAUAACGUGAUGUUCAUAGAAUGUGUAACAUUUCAAACAAGCGUCAUACUAUGCUAUAUUACAACUACUGGAUGCCCAAAACAAGCGAUCCAUUUCAAACGACAACGAUGUAGUGAUCUCCUAUAAACCUAUAUGUAUUGAUUUGUACUACAAUAUGGAAUAAUAUGCAACGUAUCAUCAGAUGUAUACCUCAAUCACCACUCCAAUUACUUAAACCUGUUCUGUGUUGUAGUGCAUUGUAGUACAUGCUUUAUUUUGUUGAUUAUCCUAUUUUAUGUCUUAUAUGCACUUUAUUUUUCAAAUUCGACAAAUCAAAGAUUUGGAAAAAAAAAGAAAAAGAAAAAGGGAAGUCACCUCACUUUUUUGUUUUCUGGCAUGGUUACUGGAAGCAUGCAGUGUGUCAAAAUUUUGCUGAGAAUGUCUUGCAGCGAGAUAAAGUAUCAGUGCACCGUGCACUAUGUACAACUAAUGAAUAGACAUUACCCGAUGGUUUACAUUUUAGUUCAAUAUCUAAAGUUCUAUAGUGAUAAGUGAUCGAUUAAUGCUUGGUGUACAAAAAAAUUUUUACAAAAAAAAUACAGAUGUCUCACAAUGGCAUGGGCCCCGGAUGAUUAAAUAAUGUCAAAAAAUUAUUCACCCACCCUCCAAAUGUGAGGUGUCGGUAGGGGUUAUGUGAACCCUUACCUGUACACCAAUCACGGCUCUCGGUGAUCACCCUCAAUUCGAGUACUGUAAACAAACAAAAAAAAUUAAAAAAAUAAAGCUAUUAAAUGAAUAAGUUACUGUUCCUCUUAUAUGAUAUCUUGAAUUCUUCAUAUAUCUCUAUAAAGCCAUUAUAUGAUAUUUUUUUCCCCAACAGGUGUUGGAAAUCUACUUAUACAUGCACGGCGGAAUUUAAAAUAAUUUUCGAUUCCCACCAAUAAUCGCCUUUAUGUUUAGAUAGAAAUUGUGAUAAGAUUGUACCUUUUCCAGAUCUGCAAUCCUUUUGCUUUUCUUUUCGUUCCACAACUUUGAUUCGCCACCACAGCUGUCCAAUUGUCCAGCCUCCAACGGUGAUCCACACAGAGAAUAUGAUUGCAGCCUCUAGGAUUUUCUCUUGUGCUAGCAAGAAUAAUGAAAACCUUAAUGGACCUCAAACCCUAGUUAUGUAUUUAUAUAAACUCAAACAGGCUCGGCUCGGCCCGGUCCGGUCCAAUAAUUAAUUAAUCCAAUUAAUUAAACCCGGUCCGUGAAUUAAUUAAUCCAAUUAAUUAAUUCGAAAAUAUAAAUAACAAAUCCAAUUAAUUAAUUUAUCCAACGAUUGUUAAAUUAACCAAUUGGAAAUUUUGCAAUCUUCCAAUUCUCUUUUGUGUGUGACCCAUUAGGUUCCCGACCUCGAUGCCUAACGACGUGAAAUAUUAUUUUGAUCUAAUCAAAAUUGAUAAAUUAAAACACCCUUUUAAUUUAUAGCCAAUUCACAUUCGCCGUCCCUAAUUGACAUCUAGCAAUGUAUCAGGGCAAUACAUGUGACGGGAAAUGUCACGUGGUAUGACAAAACCAAAUUCGUUCGUUUACCGUGAAACUAUAAUCCCUUCGUCAAUAUGAUCCGAUCAAUUGAGAUAUGGAGUUGUGUCAAUCUCGAUCAUCGACGGGACUAGUCAUUGAUUCUGGUGAUGGGGUCACUCACGUGGUAAAAUUUUUAAUAUAACAUAUCUAUUCUGUGUUUUAGGGUAUGUUGCUACUUUGUUACUUUUAUCACAUUCCUGGAAUACAUAUAUAUCUUGUUUAUUUGCUUAAAUGUUCUGGAAAAUAAUAAAGACACUCAAACUUGACAACUGAAUGCGAAAUACGAAUAUGAGGCAAUUUUGCAAAGUGUGAUUAUAAUGUCAUUGUUGUGUGUGUGUGUAAAGCAUUCAUUGGUUUUGUGAAAUGAAAACUAGUGUUCAGUUUCUUCAUGUAUCCAUUAAGGGAAUGUUUCUAUGUAAUCUAGCAUUGAUAUAUAAUUCAAAGUUAAUAUAAAAAAAGCAUAUAAAUCAGUCUCAAAAUAUAAUUUUAGUCUCUCACUAAUCAGUGUACUGGAAAAAUAAUAAGUGUGAUGCAAUAUCUUUCACAUUGAUAUGAUGACACCUAAACUAAUCCACAAGCGAUAAAGGGUAGUGCAGAUCUAUAAUGUUGGUUUGGUAUCAUUGGUGUUAGCAAAUUUUCAUCAUUUGAUUUAAGUGGUUAGUUAAGUCUCUAACCCAGAAAAGUUGAUUAAUUUUGGAGUAGGAUUAGUGAUUGUAACUCUGUGGUUUCUCCAGGUUCCAGUAGUCGAUGGAUACUCAUUUCCUCAUCUUACUAAAAGAAUGAAUGUAGCUGGACGCCACAUAACAUCAUAUCUUGUUGAUUUGCUUCUUAGAAGGGGGUGAGUAUUCUUAGAAUUCAAAAAUCAGUAAACUGCAGUAUCCUUGUUGGUUGUCAAAUGAUUCUUCGAAAUUAAUGGAUACCACUUUGUCUCUGAAGGUACGCGAUGAAUAGAACUGCUGACUUUGAGACUGUUAGGGAUAUCAAAGAGAAGCUCUGCUACAUAAGGUGAAUUGGUCUUCAUAUUUUCGUGGGCUUGUAACUUAACAUAAAUGUUUUAAUGAAUUGUCUAGUUUGCUGCAGUUAUGAUUACAAAAGAGAAUAUCAACUGGGACUUGAGACUACUAUCCUCGUAAAGAAUUACACAGUAAGUUAUCGUUGCUCCGAUGACCCAAGAAAUUUGAAAUUACGAAGUUUAAGAAUCCUUUGUCUUUAUGCAUAUCCAUACACUCAUUUGACAUGCAUCUUAUUUCAUAUUUGAAUAGCGAUAAAUUUCUUAGAAUUUUACUGAAGUAGUGUUGAUCAAGAAAGACCGUUUCGAAUUUGAUAUCAUAAUCUUAGUAGUUUUCAUUUCUACUCAACUUUUCUAUGAGCACGUUACCCAAUAAUUUCAUGAUGUGUUUGAUUGUGUUUUUUAAUGAAAUAAAUAUAUUAGAAUAACAUGGAUUAGAGGAGAGUAUAAUUGGGUUUAUUUUAUUACCAUAUUUGUAUCUAUUUCCAUACAUGUACUUUUGAUUUCACUAUAUAAUGAAAGUGAAGGAGACGAAGGUAUCUAUCUUAUUCCCUCUCGUGUUUAUAUCAAUCUGUCUCAACAUGGUAUUAGAGCAAGGUUCCUAGGGUUUGAGUCUGCAUCUCUGUCUUCUCUACAUCUACCGUUUGACCAAAUUUGAAGCAUGCAUCUUCGUCGCUAUGUCUACAUCUGCAUCACCUGUUUCACAUUUGCUGCCGGGUUUGGAGUGUGUCGUGUCUUCGUCUAUUAUCUGGUAUUUCUUGUGUGGGAUGUGGUUCUGUGGUGAUUUCCCCAUUAGCAGUAAGUGAAGUCGGAAGCUGAGAAAAUUCGUCGUGGCUGUUGCGACAAGGAGGGAGAGAAAACAAAUCUGGGUUGAGGUUUGAUUUGGGCCAAUUUUUUUUAUUUCAACCACUAUUGGGCCAUUAUUUUAAGCUGGUCACUUGGGCUUCCUUAAUUCCUAUUGGUUUUACUAAUAUAACAUUUCUAUUGAGAUGGGUUUAAUUGGCUUUAUUGUUGAUGUUGGUCCAUGUGCUCAUUUAAUUUUGGGCUUGUUGAUGUUGGUUUAAUUCCUGUUGGUUUUAUUGUUGGAUUGGUUUGUAGAUAGUAUCACGUCAACCAAGAUAGAAAUGUUUAAUCUGACGGGACCUAUGACACCUAAAAAGUUGAAUGAAAGAAAUUACACUUACUGAACUAAGUGUGUCGAGGUCUUUUUGCAGGGUAAGGGUUUAUUUUACCACUUGAUUUUGGACAAGCCGUGGACCAAGUCCUCAAAAGGUGAUUCUGCAAAAGUUGAUUCUGCUCUCAGUGAUUAAUGGGAUCAAGACGAUAAUACAAUAAUUGGACUUAUGAUCAGUAGCAUUGAACCUCAUAUUAGGUUUUCAUUCCUCUACGUGUCUACGGUGAAGCAAAAUUAUGAGCAUCUCAAACAUAUACAUUCUUGAAUUUGAAAUGUUAUUCGAAUUUAUGAGGUGUAAACAAUACUUUGGACUUGAGAAAGGCUCUUCCAACCUCAUUGAAUAUUAUAAUAAGCUUUUCGCUAUGUGUCGUGGGAAGAAUGCCAUCCUUGUGGUAGUGGAUAGGCUGUCCAAGUAUGCGAUUUCAUUGGAGUGAGCCAUCCCUUUACAGCUAAGAAACUAGCAGAAGUAUAAGUUGACAAUGGGGCUCGCCUCCAUUGUAUUCCUCGCACCAUUCUUAGUGACCUUGAUGCUUUAUUUACUAGUAAUUUCUGGCAAGAAUUCUUUAAGCUGCAAGGAACACAGCUCAAGAUGUCUUCUACAUAUCACCCGAAAACUGACAGACAAACCGAAGUGGUGAACAGGAGCCUUUAGCAAUACCUUCGCUGCUUGUCCAGUGAAGCAACAAAGCAGUGGAGUCGUGAUCUUCCUUGGGCGGAAUUUUGUUAUAAUACCACAUUCCAUCGUCAUAUCGGGCUCAUCCCAUUCCAAACUUUGUAUGGGAGACCACCACCAAUCAUAACCAGAUAUUUACCGAGAAGCGUAGCAGUGCAAGAGGUAGAAAGAGAGUUAUGCAAUCGGGACGAGCUGCUCAAGCAACUAAAGCAGAAUUUAGAAAGGGCCAGAAAUUGAAUGGAGCUACAAUCAGUGUUCCAUAUAUUGUGUCUCAACAAUCAGUGUUUAAAAGAGCUAAUCAGAAGCUUGCUAGCAAGUACUUUGGACCUUAUCGAGUCUUAGAAAAGAUAGGUGCAGUGGCGCCUACAAGUUGAAGUUGCCAGAAAACUCGAAAGUUCAUCCUGUGUUCCAUAUAUUGUGCCUCAAGAAGCAUAUAGGAGAAGGGGAAAUUACACAAAGCAUGGCCCUACCAGUUUCAGAGGAAGGAUCUUUGGUGCUAGAACCCGUUGCUGUCAAAUACUCCAGUUGGGUGAAGCAGGGGAGCAGAUGGGGAGCGGAAGUAUUAAUCCAAUGGAAGUACUUGCCUGAGGAAGAAGCUACUUGGGAAUCUACUAGGCUGAUGGAGUUCGACCUUAAGGGCAAGGUUGAAGUCCCAACGGCGGCAGACGUUAGACUCCAAAGAAACAGGAAGGCCAAUCCAAAGUAUUCGGUUGUGUUGACCGCAGAACAAAGAGGACCAAUUCAGAGGGCGAAUGGCAGGGGAACUGGAGCUAAUUAAAGGAUGUCCCCCACUAAGUGCUUGCAUUUAACGCAGAGUGGAGUUAUGUUUGAGUUUAUUUAGGGAGUAAUCGUUGGUUGAGUUUCUAUAAAUAGGUCUUUAGGCAGUAGAGUAGGGUAGCUUUUGAAUUAAUUGUAAUUGUGGUUUGCUCCAGCCCUAAUUGGAAAAUUUCUAUUGCAACUCGGUACUUUCUUCUUGAGUUAUUGCAGAGUCGUUUUCAACAAGUUCACACCUUAUUUCUCUAAUUAUAAAUGUCUUCUGACUCGAAUCAAGAUCCCGUUCGCUUACCUGUCCCUUAUCUACCAGUUGGUAUUUCUCCAGAACUAAACUCGCCUUUGCCUAAUUCACCCGAGUUGUCCUCCUCCCAUAAGGAACCAUCUCCUCCUUUACAAGUUGAUACUUGACGAUCUAAGCCAUCAACACUUGUGACUCCAUUCGUUACCUUGCCACCUACAGAUCCUACAUCUAUCAUCUAUCCUGGUCCCGAGUCAUUGCCCAUUGCUCUUUGUAAAGGUAAACGUAAUUGUAUAACUAAACAUCUUCUUAGUCACUAUGUCAAAUUUUGAAUCGUUGUUACCUUCGUUUUCCUAUUUCACAUCCCACGUUUCUAGUGUUUUUGUUACUAAGACAGUGAUAGAAGCUUUAUCUGAUCUUGGGUUGCGAUAGGCUAAGGAACUGGAAGUGGAAGCUUGCUCAAGAAUAGGACUUGGGAUCUCAUUCCUUCACUACUUGGAAUACAUCCUGUUGGUAACGGAUGGGUCUUUGUUCCGAAAUUUAAUCCUGUCUGGAUGUUGAUUGCUUGAAGGCCCGAUUGGUUGCUAAAAAUAUACUCAGACCUAUGAUAUUGAUUAUGAUGAAACAUUCUCUCCAGUUGUUAAGAUCUCUUCUAUUCAUGUUUUGAAAUAUAUUGCUGCCGAAGCAAUCAGGGAGAGCACUAGAACUAUGUUUGUAGAUUAAAAAAGCUUUAUAUGGGCUAAAGCAAUCAUCGAGAUCAUGUUUUCGAAUGUUUUCUGAGGUUGUUUUGGAAUUUGGUCUUCAAGGCUGUCAGACAGAUUAUUUGGUAUUUCAUCUACAUACUGAUACAAGUUAUAUUAUCCUUGUAAUUUAUGUAGAUAUUAUAAUCACUAACUACAAAUAGGAUUUCUAAAAAAACGUUUUCAAACUAAAGAUCUAGGCAAGCUCUGAUAUUUCUUGGGCAUUGAAGUUGCUAGGUUACGGGCUGGCAUUUACUUGUUAUAGAGAAAAUAUGUACUUGACCUGUUAGAUGAGAGUUUUUUUGUAACUUGUCCAGUUGAUACUUCCAUGGAUUCUAAUGUGAAAUUUUUUAAGGAUAAAGGAGAAUUGUUUGGAUAACCAAGAAAAUAUUAUCGUUUGACUGAAAACUUGAAUUAUCUUUCCAUCGCAUGACCAGAUAUUCCUAUGCAAUUUGGGCGUCAUUAGUCAAUUCUUGAAUGCUCCUCAGGUGUCUUAUUGGGAAGCUGUGAUGUGUAUUCUUCAGUAUUUGAAAAAUGCUCUAGACCUUGGAUUACUAUAUUAUCAGAAUAGAAGGGUAUACAAAUGCAGAUUGGGUAGGAUCUCCGUCAGAUAGAUGAUCCACUACAGGUACUUUUCUCGAUGGUAAUCUUGUUUUAUGGAAAAGUAAGAAACAAAUUAUAGUAGUAAGGUCAAGUGCAGAAACAGAAUAUAGGACGAUGACUCAUACUACUAAUGAGUUGACAUGGUUGCAGCACUUUCUUCAAGAAAUCGGUCUCUCACCUUCUACCCCCAUUCUAAUGUUUUGUGAUAAUUAAGAUGCUCUACAUAUUAUGGCCCUGUAUGAGCCCCAUUUUUACCUCAUUAAAAUGAAAAAUAUGACUGUUAUCCAUCAUAUCAAGCCACCAUUUUUGAAUUUCUAUCUCUUGUGUGGGACUUAUAACGGCUCUAUUUUUCAUUCUCAUUCUACAAAUAAUGUGGCUCAAACGGGCUCUAUAUCUAAUCCAGUCUUCAUGAAAGAACCAAGUACAUUGAAGUUGAUUGUCACUUUGUUCGAGACAAAAUGAUGAAUGACGAUAUAUAUACACCAUUUAUGAAGACAGGAGAUUAACUUAUUGAUAUGUUUACAAAGUCGGUGAACGGAAAUUGAUUGAGGUUUCUUUGUUCCAAAUUGGGUUUAUAUGAUAUACAUGUUCUAGUUUGAGGGGGAGUGUUGAGGAAAUAAAUAUAUUAGAAUAACAUAGAUUAGGGGAGAGUAUAAUUGGGUUUAUUUUGUUUCCAUAUUUAUAUCUAUUUCCAUAUGUGUAUUUUUUAUUUCACUAUAUAAUGAAAGUGAAGGAGAUGAAGAUACAUCUAUCUUAUUCUCUCCCUUGUUUAUACCAACCUUUGUCUCAACAUUAUUUUUAUAAUUGGGGAUGUUAUAAUUAACAGCUGCCAGAUGGAAGGGUCAUUAAAGUUGGCACAGAGCGGUUUCAAGCACCUGAAGCUCUUUUUACUCCGGUAAGAAUAUACCUGCCAUUUACCAUAUAUAUACCUUGUAAGGUCAAAGCAUGUUUUUGUUAAAUGUUGAAAUUGGGUUAUAUGUCCUGUCUACUAUUUCUUUAUGUGAUAUUUUGGAUAAAUGUGGCCAUAUCAUACCACUGAUUCUUGUGGUUUAAUAUAUUUGCUGCAUUGCUCAGUACAGUAAUGUGUGUCCGAUAUUGCCUUUUUUAAAGCUGCAAAUUGGUGGCAUGAGUAAUUAAGACAAAAGCUUAACAUGUUUAGUAUUUUGCUGCCUUGCUUAGGACAGUAAGGUGUGUAAUUUAAUAUUGCCUCUUUAAAACUGCGAAUUGGUGGUAUGAGUAAUUAAGAGUUAAGACUAAAGCUUAAGUUCAUGAAAAAUAGAUGGCAGAUUCCGAUCAUGUUCUCCAAUUAUAGCUGACCUGUAAUAUAUAUUUUUUAAUUGUGAUUAGCUCCAUGGCAUCAAUGUAUUCAAGUAUUGGUUUACACUGCCGUAAAACCUUUAUCAUGGAUUAAAAAUAAACUCUAGAUGGUAUAUUUUUUAUAGGAACUCAUAGACGUUGAAGGAGAUGGGAUGGCUGACAUGGUAUUUCGUUGCAUUCAGGAAAUGGAUAUCGACAAUCGAAUGAUGGUAUUAAAUUUUUUUUAACUGAAACAUCUAAUAUAUUGCGUUGUUUAAUUUCUCAUGCAAUAUUGAUCCCUUGUCUUGCAGCUCUACCAACAUAUCGUUUUGAGUGGAGGAAGCACGAUGUAUCCUGGAUUACCUAGUCGGUAAACCAUGAAAUUCCUCUUUACUUCAUAUAAAGCUACAUCUUUUUGUCUGUGUUCUGUAAUUAUGAUCCCAAUCCUUAAAUAUUUCUCAUGUACCUCUUUUUAUUUUCUUGACCAAAGAACCUAUAUUUAAUGGACCACGUAUCUGUCUUGGGAUGAAUUAUUAAGUCAUGUGUGUGUGUGUGUGUGCGUGCGUGCGCGCACGCCAUGUAUAAUUCCAGUGAUUUGAGGGGUGACUAGUUAUAAAUAAGCUAUGAUCUGCAUAAAGUCUAGGAGUGUGAUCUGCCAAUGACCAUUUCGGAUAAAAUUUUAUUUAUGUUAGUAAAAAUUUGUUCCUGAAAUGCAUAAUAUAUUUUUGGAUAACUAAAUGAUGUUUUAGCUAUUUUAUUUACUUUGUUAUAUAGUAUAGCUAAUUCAUGGGGCACCACAUAUCGGUUGGCAUGAGAAUUCUCUUGGCUUUGUGAUUCUAAUGCUUGCUGAGCUCUGUAUAUUGUCAUGGGCAUGUCAAGUAGAUAACUCAUGUUUUUGCAUCUGUGAAACUUUUCCUUUUCUUCAGCCUAGAGAAAGAAAUUUUGGAUCGCUAUCUUGAAGUUGUUUUGAAGGGAAACAGAGAUGGGUUGAAGGUAAAUUUACCUCAACUUCAUUAUUUAUAUGCACCUUGAAAAUUUGGACCUCUAUCCUGUGGGCAUCUUCUAUUUGCAAUCUCCUCAUUCUUUUAUCUUCCUCUUUUCACCAAGUGAAUGAAGUCUUCUUUUGUCGUUCCUAAAACAGAAACUACGUCUGAGGAUAGAGGAUCCACCACGAAGAAAGCAUAUGGUGUAUCUUGGAGGUGCAGUUCUUGCAGGAAUCAUGAAGGUUGGGUUCAUGCUCUUUCUCAACUCUCCCUUCCCUGACACAACAUCAUUCAUGUGUGCACAACGCUUAAAACUGUUUCUUUUAACAAGUUAACAUCGGUUUCUUAGUACUCAAAUAAAGUCCACAAUGAUCUUCUUGGCGCUUUUUGAAGAUGGACAUAUGUAGCAAUAUCUACUGCAUGGAAAUAAUUUUUGUUUCCUAAGUGUUUGGAUGUUAAACUUUUUUAAGCGCAGUCAAACAUACUAAUAGUUUCCUACUCACGUGAUUGUAAAAAUCGAGAUCAUUUAACAAUAUUGCAGGAUGCACCUGAAUUCUGGAUUAGCAGGCAAGAUUAUUUGGAAGAGGGAGUUGCUUGUUUAAGCAAAUGUGGCCAGGCGUAAACUUUAUCAUUUGUUAGAUUUUAUCGCCACUUCAUUUCCUCCCUAACAAAAGCAUAAGAAGAUGAACAACUCCAUGUAUCAUUGACAGAAGUUGAGUUGCCAUUGAAGAGUAGCUAGGUAAUGAGCCAGUGAAAUGAACGAGGAAGCAUUUGCAGUGAUGUAGCUUGUAAUUGAUGUAUUUUUUUAUAUUAAUUGAAAAUGAAAGGUUUUUUUCCUUUUUUUUUUUUCCUCAUUGGAGUAAUAUUUAGUUUUACCGUUGUUUAUUCGACAGUAAAAUAGAGCUUGUGAUCCAUAUCAUAUGCUACGUGUGACACGUGUAACAGUUCAAACACUUAUUAAUGUUUUUUCAAGUAUAUGCAUUCCAUUAUCAAACUCAAAUAAAUGCACAACUUCACCUUUGAUUUUAUUUCUUUAAUGAUUAUCAUGUCAUGUUAAAUUACAUGAAUACCAAACUGUACAUUGUAUGUCUCCCUCCAUGGGCUUACCACAUCAUCAUCACAUAAUGGACGUUUUUGUUUCAUAUAGUGUCUCGUUACACCAAGCAUGACAAUCGACUCUUUCGAUACUAAAUGUACACUAUUCUACAUAACGUGAUGUUCAUAGAAUGUGUAACAUUUCAAACAAGCGUCAUACUAUGCUAUAUUACAACUACUGGAUGUCCAAUACAAGCGAUCCAUUUCAAACGACAAUGAUGUAGUGAUCUCCUAUAAACUUAUAUGUAUUGAUUUGUACUACAAUAUGGAAUAAUAUGCAACGUAUCAUCAGAUGUAUACCUCAAUCACCACUCCAAUUACUUAAACCUGUUCUGUGUUGUAGUGCAUUGUAGUACAUGCUUUAUUUUGUUGAUUAUCCUAUUUUAUGUCUUAUAUGCACUUUAUUUUUCAAAUUCGACAAAUCAAAGAUUUGAAAAAAAAAGAAAAAGAAAAAGGGAAGUCACCUCACUUUUCUGUUUUCUGGCAUGGUUACUGGAAGCAUGCAGUGUGUCAAAAUUUUGCUGAGAAUGUCUUGCAGCGAGAUAAAGUAUCAGUGCACCGUGCACUAUGUACAACUAAUGAAUAGACAUUACCCGAUGGUUUACAUUUUAGUUCAAUAUCUAAAGUUCUAUAGUGAUAAGUGAUCGAUUAAUGCUUGGUGUACAAAAAAAAUUUUUACAAAAGAAAUACAGAUGUCUCACAAUGGCAUGGGCCCCGGAUGAUUAAAUAAUGUCAAAAAAUUAUUCACCCACCCUCCAAAUGUGAGGUGUCGGUAGGGGUUAUGUGAACUCUUACCUGUACACCAAUCACGGCUCUCGGUGAUCACCCUCAAUUCGAGUACUGUAAACAAACAAAAAAAAUUAAAAAAUUAAAGCUAUUAAAUGAAUAAGUUACUGUUCCUCUUAUAUGAUAUCUUGAAUUCUUCAUAUAUCUCUAUAAAGCCAUUAUAUGAUAUUUUUUUCCCCAACAGGUGUUGGGAAUCUACUUAUACAUGCACGGCGGAAUUUAAAAUAAUUUUCGAUUCCCACCAAUAAUCGCCUUUAUGUUUAGAUAGAAAUUGUNNNNNNNNNNNNNNNNNNNNNNNNNNNNNNNNNNNNNNNNNNNNNNNNNNNNNNNNNNNNNNNNNNNNNNNNNNNNNNNNNNNNNNNNNNNNNNNNNNNNCUGCCAUUUUAAUUCUACAUAAUAGGGGGAUUGUGUAAUUGUAUUCCGCUGCGUGGUUGUGUUAUUGGUUCAAUCCCCAACAAUUUCAUCUGUAUUUGGUAUACUAAUGCCCGUGGCCUCAUAUGCAGCCCUGUAUUCUUGAAAAUUUCACGUUUUUUAAGAAUGGCUCCCAUUGGUUUCCAGUUAUUGCAAGUUUUUCAUGUGAACAAGAUGCUUCAGAGUCUAUUUAGCCUCCUUCCGCUUUCUCUGACUCCAAACAGAAUCCGGCUACAGCAUGUUCCAUAUUAGUUUAAACUCUACUUUUUGGUUCCAUGUAUCGAAACAUGAGUCAAGAUCCUAAUAACGACAUUAGACGACUUUUUUGAUAAUAUUUAUUUUGGGGCAUGCGGAAAUGGAAGUAGGACUGAUAAUGUGAUAAGAGGAAUAGUUGGAUUAUAUGUUAUUACUGCAAAAUUGUUAAAAUUUCAGAGAAAACCAGUCAUUUAUUCUUUUUCCCGUCUUUUAUUACAUUGCAUUUUUCUCUCUCCUAUUUUCAACUAUAAAAUUUUCCAUAAAAUAAUAUUACUCGUAAAUCGAAAACUUUUCCUUUUUUUUCAAUCAAUCAUUUUUCAAAAAAACACUAUUCCACCCAUUAAUUUUUCCACAAAAUGGGGGCUUAAUUUGUUAACUUAAGACUAAGAAGCGAAGUCAUUUCCUCUGGUAACCCCGAAGAUUUAUGCUUAAUAGAUUAGAGAACGCAGUAUGGGGAAAAUGAUUGGUGAAUGCUUAUGUAUGGGAUGCUGAGGCAUUGAUUAGAGUAGGAUGCUCCUUUUGGAGGCGGGUUAGUUCUAUUGGCCAUGUUUCUUAUAACAGAUACAGACUCGGCAGUGGAAUCGCUAUAUCAAUCUAUCUUCAUUCCUCCUCUCUUGUGAAGCUUGACUAGUGAUCUUUAUCUUGAAGUCAUGGCUGUAGAGUGACAACACGAGUUCUAAUAUUCGAGUGCCACUAAAUUUUUAUCACAAACAUAAAAAAAUUGCUUUCUAGAACUUGAAUUUUGUUUGCAUAACUUCAUAAAAUAAUAAGAGUUUAAACCAUAAUUAGAUAAUUUAUAUCAAAUAAAAAAGAAAAAAAAAGAACUUAAAGUUUCUCUAAACCAAUAAUUAAAGAAAUCUUGAAUAAACCAAAAUACACUUGGUGGGUCUCUUUUCACUUGCCAGCCCUUUCAUGCCUCGAUUGCCACAAACCAUUAAUUUCCUAAAAGGGCAAUAAGGAGGGAUGUGAUAUAAAAUCUCAAUAAAUAUAUUACAAGGGUUAAUAUUUUGUACAUAAUUUAAGGAACUUUAUACAUAUAUAGGGAGACACAAAAAUCAAUAUCUAACAUAGGCAGUAUGAAAUUUUUAUGCGUAGCGCUACUAUAUUUUGGUCCAAAUGUUAGAACAUACAUAAUGGAUCCCAUAAUUAAUGUUCUAAAAGCAUAAAUUACGCUUAUAAACCCAUAAAAACACAUACACUUACUUGUAUCAUCAAUGUUCUUAAAACAUAAAGUACGCAUAUAAAACCAUAAAAACACUUUAUUUUGCAAAAGUGAUAAAAGAAUUAUUGAAAUGUAUUUGAGACUUUAACCCUUGACCCACGUGUUAAUGAAUGAAUAUAGUAUAUUCGUGUUUGCAUUUCAAAGAGAAGUGAAUGUACUUGAAAAUAGAAUAUAUGAUACCUAUUUAUAGACACAAUUAUGCUUUGAGAUCCUAAUCCAAUGCAACUUCAAAUUUUAAAAGUGAUAAAUGUUAUCAUUAUUUCAACCAUAUUUCUAUUAAUGAGAUAAGAUAAUAAAUUUAAAAUAAAAGAUAAAAGUAUCUUAAUAUUAACCCAUUCAUUUAAUAUUUCAGUUUAUUUAAAAGAGAUAAAAUUAAAACAUUAUGUCAUUUAUCAUUAAAAUUAUAAAAGAUAGAGAUACAAUCAAAAUAUUAUAUAAACCAUUCAAAAUUUCAAUUUAAUUAAAAGAAAUAAAAUUAAAACAAUAUUUCAUUUAUCUUUAAAAUUAAAUAAGAUUUUUAAUAACUUGGACUUAAGUCCAAAAAGAAAAAUAAAACAAAAAGUGUGGGUUAUGAUUCCACCUAACGGACUUUCAUGUGAUUGACCAAUCUAAAAAUAGUGGAAAUUACAUAAAACUUAGUUUUAAAGAUCCCAUUUAAUAAAUCAUAUGCUAGGUUUACUAUUUAAAAAAUAAGAUAUUUUAUUAAUUAAUACAUUAUUAUUAAAUAAAUAUAUUGAUAAAUUAAAUUAAUUUAUAAACUAACCCUACCUCUAUACCCAAACCGUUCUCUCAUCUCUCGCGCCACUCUCCUCUUUCUCAUCGCCUUCAUGAUUGUUGUUGCCACCGCUAUGACUAACACCAACAUCACCACACCUUACAAACACUACCCACAUGAAACUAGUCUCUAUUAUCUUUCUAUUCCACUGGAAGCCGUCGCUAGGAGCCAUUGCCAUAAAUCGCCGCCAACAAGAUUGUUGCACAUGUAAGACAUUAAACCCUAAUGCCAAGAUCUUUAGAAUUCAUGAUUUUCACAUAUGAAUUUAAUUGAUCAAGAAACAUACAUUGAUCCAUGGCAAUAAUUGAGAAUUUUAGAUCUGCAAAAUAAUAAACUGUUAAAUUAAAGAAAUCGUUCUCUCACUUUUCCUCUCUUUUAUUGAAUGAAUUAAUUGAUGGGUUUCAUUCACAUUUAUAGGCAGAGAGAGGCAGUCUCCUUUUGUGCCAUAAAACUCUCAACUUUCCAUCAAAGUAGACAAUUAUAAAACUACCAUUUCUCAAUUGGGCCAAUAGGAUUUUAGUAAUAUUAAUCACAUUUAAUUAAUUCUUUAAUAUUACAUGGGCCACAAAUAAUUGGUUUUACAGCACAAUCUGUUGUUUGCUGCUGCGUGAUGUUGUGGGUCUACUACGCGUUCCUCCUUGCUUUGUCCCAAAUCUUUUUUUUUCUGAUUUUGGUGGCCGAAGGGUUUUUGUGUUGUUUGAUUAUGGUGUGAUGUGGGUGCAGUGUUGUACUGUGUUAAGUGCGAUGGGUUCGAGGUGGUUGUGGUGUUCGACGGUGGUUUUAGGGGUCAUAGUGGUUUAAGUGGAGUUUGGAUGGUGGUGGUGGUGCUCGUGGUCCUGGUGUUUGGGUGACGAUGGCUUUGUUGGCGGAGGUUGUUGGAUCCAGUGGUGGCGGAGGGUAUGUUGGUUGCGAUGGUGGUGGUCUUAAAAUAAUUUAUGACAUGAAAAUUUUGAUUUGUGAUCGAAAAAUAAUAUGUGACUAACUAAAUCGUUAAUUUGUAACCAAAUCAUAUAGAUUUGUGACCUUAAUAUAUUUAAUUGAUAAAAUAAUUAAUUAAAUCAUAAAUUAAUUUUAACAAAAAUUUAUUUUUGAAAUUUGAAACUUGUUUUCUGGAUUUUGAAAUGUGUGAUAUUUAAACCCUUAUGAAUUUUUUCCCUAAAAAUAUUAACCAUGUCUUUGUAUAAUGGGCCAAACAUAACCUAAUAAAAUUACGCCCACGAGUAUGGGUAUGACAUGCAACUUCUUUGGUACGACUAUUUUGUGUGUAAAUGUUCCAUAGUUAAGUUUAAGAAAUGCCCACAUCAGAUGGGCCCACAUAUUUUCAAAUUCUGAAUAUUUGAAGAAGCCAAAACAUAAAAAUCUGCUGAGUGGAAGGCUGAUAAUGGAAGACAAGACAAGGGGUCAAGGGAAAAAUCGUAGAAAAGAACUCCAGAAACAUGUAUUAAUGUUCUUGUAACAUAACUAAAUAUUGUAGCUUCACUAGAACAUUUAUAAUUAUAGCAUUGUACCUAAAUAUUGUAGCUUUACUAGCAGCGUUGUACAUAUAAUUAUAAAUUUAAAUUCUUUACAUUGUACAGCAACUUUGUUUCACGAGUUAUGUUUAGCUUAGUAAUUUUUGCUCUUUUGCCCAACAGACGAAGAGAUCUGAAACAGAUAUCAGGGAGUUGAAACAUUCAUUGCUUCUCUUUGAGGCUUACUGAUGAAUAUUCUUCCAAUGCUCAUGCACGCAAACGGUUGCCUUCACCUGAGCUACUUCCCUUGCUCUCUAACAACUCAUACUACCACUUCGUAUUGUCAACCGACAACAUUCUGGCUGCUGCAGUUGUCGUCACAUCUGCUGUCCAGUAAUCUAUAAAGCCUGAAAAGAUUGUUUUCCAUGUCAUAAUUAGCAAGAGAAAUUAUGCAGGCAUGCAUUCGUGAUUCGCCCUGAAUCCUGUCUCUCCCGCUAUAGAAGUAAAAGGCAUUCAUCAGUUUGAUUGGUUAUCAAAAGAGAAUAUUCCAGUUCUUGAAGCUGUGGAGAACCACAAUGGGAUACGGAAUUACUACCAUGGAAAUUGUUCACCUCGUUUCCGGUUGGGGCCAUGCAAGCAAUAGAUACUAGACUCACAUGCACACACGCAAGCCUGGUCCAACACGUUUGAACACGGAAGCGGUCUAGAACGGUAAGAGAAAGGGCGUGGGAGCGGCUCAAAGGCCUGGUACGAUGACAUUCGAAAUUCGGCAAGACAUUUGUAAAACGAUUGUUCAAUAAUUACCAUUUGUGAGGGAUGAAUAUGUAUGUAAACUCGACUAUAUAGCAAGAAAGCUAUCUGCAAUGUGUUGUUUGCAUUUUCUCUAGCAUUGAGUUUUGUAUUCAAAAUUACAUUAGCCUUACAAUGGUAAAACUGGGAAGUAUUUAUAGUACUACAAAGUAAAUUGUAGUCCUUGGUAGGAGUAUACUUGGCCUCAUCUCUUUGGUCCAUACAUUUAAUCUUAGGCAUCACUUUUGACUUACUAGCCCACUUUACAUUUAUUAAUUGACAAAAUCGUCACUUUAUUUGACAAGACUUGACACUUAAACUCUAUAAUAGAUGUCGUAUCAAUCAUUCAAAGAAGAUACUGGUGUAAAAAUGGAUCUCUUGGAAAAAGUGAUAGUGAAAGAGUUUCGAAAGUCUCAACUUCGGCGCAUGGGCCUUGGAGUGAACCACCUUGGCCAAUGUGCUUUGGACUUCAAGAUGCUGAGUCUCAGUUGGGAUGUUAGUUUUGGCUGCAUUAAAUAGGUUUAAGGGCCUCAGCCACCAUGUUACGUGUUUCAACGUAGGUGGGCUGGACCAAAGGCUAUAGUAGGUCGGCUACGUGGACCCACGUGCACGUGUGAUGAGACGUAACAGAAAUCAUAUCAUUGGGGCCAAUCUUAGUGACGCUUCCACCCCUCAAAAAUUUGCCUCAAAACUGCAAGCUAGAAGUCCAAAGUACAUCUCAUUGCCCAAUCAUCUCUACAUAUCUCUAGGAGGUAAUCGAUAGUCAUUGGACGAAGGUUUCCUGCAAGGCGUUUCAUGCUUUCAUUGCUUUGGAAAAUGUAUGAAAAAUUAAAAAUUGAUUUUGAUGGUUGGGAACUUGUAUAUGUUAUGCUCAUGUCCAACUUGUAAUUGCUGAUUCUGUCUGAUAAACUGCAAAAUAUUUUUGUCCCCAGUGUUUCAUUUGAUUAUAUGUCAUACAAUCCCGCUACCCAGCCAGGGAUAUAAACAGGGUUGGGAACAGGCAAUAAAAAGUUGGUGUGGUGGCCCACAAUUAUUCAUAAUUCAUAAAAUAAAAUAAAAACCAACAACAUUAGCCAAAAUAAAAUAAAAGAAGAGUACUACAGGACCGAUUUCUCAUUUCCUCCCAAACCUUGAAGAGUACUCUUGCCAGCACGCCAUCGCCAAUCGGAGCACCCAUCACCGGUUGGAGAGCCGGUAGUCACCUGACGAAGAAGAGGGGAAAAGUGGAAAAAAAGGAACUUAAUUUUCUCCUAUUAAUGAUUUUGUAAAGAAAUUAAUAAGGUAUUUUGAGAAUUUUGAGACACCCAAGAGAUCUUAAUUUCUUUUCCUUUCAAGUUCUCCAAAGACAGGUAAGAUCUUGUGAUUCUUUAUUAGCCACCUCCAUAUGAUCAUAUUUAUUCAUUAGGCUUCGCAGAAAUUUUUCAAUAACCUUUUAGGUUUUCAAAAUUUCUCUACUUGAUGCCAUAGAAUUUGAAAUGGAACUCUAGUUUACUGAAUCUCAGUUGCUUGAUAUAUUUGGAAAGGUGAAUCGUGUCUUUUUGUGUCUUAUUCUUUAGGAGAUUUGUAUGUGCUUUAGAUAAUUGAUUUUCAUUUUCUGGUUGUUUGUAUUCCUUCAACAAUAUUUCAUAAAUAAUGAGAUUCAAGACACAAUUCAUUAGAUUAAUUUAAUAAUAAAGAUUUCGCCAUUAAAACGAGUCACGAGAGAAAUGAGAUUAUUGUUUGACAUUAUUUAUCUUUUCUUGGCUCUGAUAGUAGUUAGUAGAAAAGAAGGCUUGGUAGAUAUCUUAUUAUUAUUACUAUUAUUAUUAUAAAUUGCCUUUGCAAAAUAAUAAAGAUUUUGGUAAAUCAAUGUGCAUGUUCUAUCUUUAAGAAGUCUCCUCCAAUUACUAAGUCAAGUAUUGGAAUUCUAUAAAACAUUUGACUAAACAAGUACAUGAUUAUUCUAGGAAAUUUAAUAGUCAAAAUUUGGUUUAUUAUUCCAACAUAUAUAUUAUGCUUGUUUUGUUUUGGAUUCACUCCAAAGCCUAGCAAAAAUUCAUAUUUGUAAUGUAGCUAUUUUAAUUAAUCUAGACUUGCCAAGGAGUCCCAGUCCCUUUUGAGUGUGGUGGAAAAAACAUUCACAAAACAAGAGCCAAGAGCUUGGGUUUUGGUGAAAAGAAACAAAGGGCAUCUGUUAUGGUUGAUGUGUGUCGGAAGUGUUGUGCUGUGAUUUUGUAUAAUUCCUUUUGAAAAAGUACUCUUCAUUAGCUUAUCUAGUUGGGUAUUUGUAGUUUCUGGAUUUCUUGAAUUGAUGAGAUGACUGACUUCACACAGGUUAUAUGUUUUUUAUUCCCAUCGUAGAAUGCUCGGAAGGAACUCCGGAAUCUGUCAUAGUUGUAGAGCUAAGGAUCAUUUGUUUGCCGAAUGCAAAAAGAAACGCCCUUGCCCACGAUGUAAGUAUGGAUUUGAAAAAUGUUUUGUGGUAAAGAAGGAAAAUCACAAUAAGGGGAAACUAGUCCUUUGCUACAGCCGGAAUUGUGGAUUUUGGGAAUGGGUUGUGAAAGAAGACUCAAGCGGUCAAUGUAGUCGUGAUAGCGCGACAUUCCCUAACCCCGUGAUGAAUGACACUAAUGAAGAAAUGUCCCGCAUGUUCAAAUAUUGGGUAAGGAUAAGUGACGAAGAAGAGUUUCAGAUUUUGGUUAACGUGAGCAUCAAGAAGGAGAAAAUUGUUGCAAAUGUGGACGCUAAAGGGAAGCGGCCGACUUGACUUGAAGAUACUUAUCGAAGUGGCUAGCCUAAUUUUCUCAAUUAAAACUGAAUCAGCUUGUCCUUAUUAUUUGUGAAGGUUGAAAGUCUUGUAUGUGAUGAAUUAAGUAAAGUAGUUGAGCUUUGUGGUGCGAGGUUGUAUAUCAUGACAUCUUGGUAUCAAAACAAGCAUCUUUUGUAGGCAAACAUUUGUACUCUCGCGACUUACUUACAGUUUUUGUAUGGUAAUUAAUUUAUUUAAUACCUUUCCAUUCAAAUUGUUUAUGUAUUCCAAGUUCACAAGCUUAAAUGAAGGCAGACAUUGGUUGCCUAUAAUAUACGAAGCCCAGGUUCCCUAUAAUUUGGUGAUGCGAACCCGUAGCUAUUGGCAUCUCACUUGGACAUGCCGAACAUUGAGCUUGCAAACAAUUACUUGAAAUCACACCCGGAUAUGUUUGAACGCCACAAGAUGCUAGAUCUUGAUAAGUCCAGUAUUUUGAAGCAUCACGCCUCGAGAGAGAAAAUUCUCAAUUUCCAUUCAUCAUAAAACUUGGUUAUAAUUUAAGAAUAAAAUCCUAUUUAUACUAAAUACCUAAAAAUAAUUAAAAAGGAAUUAAAAUCCCUAACACCUAUUUUUAAUUAAGGUAAAACACGUCCCAAAGAUAUUAAAAUUAUUAGAGUCCCACUUAAACAAGGGGACAAAUAUUAAGGGAUCACAAAGUUGUCUGCCAUCAAGGAAUCCUAUCACUGUUGGAAAUUGCCGAGAUUGUGGAAAAUUCUGCCCGUUAGUGAGUGUUGCGACGGCAUUGCUUGGAUGGAUGCGGUCGCAUAGCAUUAUCAAUUUCCUCCCGCCAGUUUUCGGUAUAGGUUCUCGCGACCGCAAGGCUUGUGAAGGUAUGCGGUCGCAUAGGCUCUGAAUUGCUGUCCCGAUCUUUAAUGUUUGACCCAAUUAAUUCUAGGUUGUCCAGCUUGGUUCUUUGGUUGCCCACAGUUUAACAAAUGAUAUAAAAAACUCUAUUUCAUCCAAUUAUCCCAAAGUGUUGAAGAAUUUCAAGAACUACAGGCCAAAGGACACCCCAGCUGGUCUGCAGGAAGUUCUUAUUUCAUUUAAAUAAGUAGAAUAAUUUAAAAGGCCACUAGCUUCUUAUAAUGAUGUAAAGAAACAAAUAUUAUUGCUUAAACAAAAUUAGUUAUUCAUUUAAUGCAAAGGGUGAAACUAAACAACAGUCAAACAUUGUUAUGGCAGCUACAUCGGCUCCAUGAAAGUAUGGCAAAAUGAGUUUACAAAUAACAACUUUUUUUCUAAUGGCUACCAAAUCAUUAAACUUGCAGAAGAAUAUUCUCAAUUAUCACAGAAAGCAGAAAGACUUAACAAUUCAGCUAUUAGAUAAGUUGCUCAAAAUGGUAUGAACAAAACAAAAGAAAUUUCCAUUGAAUUAUCACAACAAUUAUUUGAUACUAAUACACUAUGAGUAGUAAUUACCCAACAUUUCAAAAAAAUUCCGCCAACUUAAAACCUGUGAAGUUGCCAAAAUAGGCAAAGUAGUAAUUGCCUUAAUACUAGGAAAUGCCAAAAUACAUCUUCAUUCGAGUACUGUGAAUUGGAAGUCUUGAUUUCAAAAAAAUUCCAAUCGCGCAAACAUAGCCCCCUUGCUAUAGGCUGCCACUGUGAUCCAAUAAAUUUUGAUAGUAGUUCGCCGAUGGUUGACCUACAAUAGAAUACCAUAACAAAUAGUUAAUCAUGUGUUCACAACAAAAUGAAUUUUAAAACCGUCUACAACAUUGGUUUAUACAUUGUGAAUUUUGCCUGAUACUAGCAGCGAAUGGAGAGACCAAAUUUCCAAAGGGUACACAUUGGGAAAGGGAGAACGGUGUAGACAUGGACAGUUGUGACAAAGAUAAUGGUGUCAACGUGUCACUGGGCAAGUACGACGUCGGGGUUGGCAUGGAAUAUUGUUGAGGCAACUGAAAGUUCAUUGCGUCAUCUACCAUAUUCGUAUUGCUACUUCUUGGUGGCAUAGUAGUGGAUGAUGUCCCGCUAGACUGCAUUUACAAGAUAUAAAUUUAAACAAUUGCAAAUAUAAAUCUCAGUUUUCGAGCAUACCUUUGCUUUCUUUGAUGUUAUCUCCAAUGGGCUUCUUUUUCUAAGCUUCCUUGGCGCACCCUUUAGUCGAGCUACUUGUGGAUCACAUAUGCUUCCGCUCGCUAACUUUGACACGUCCGUACAAUCAUUGGACACCUGCGUGGUACGCGACGGUAUGAGAUUACUACUACCACCAGAUCUUGUGGUCAUCAUAUCUUCACAUUGCAAUUUUAUCCACUCCAUUAUAGCACGUGACAGCAUUUCAUCAUCUGCAGCAAGGUCUGCCACCUGUGCAAAUCCCUUAGACAUCUCUUCGUAUCUUAAUUGUGCAGGAGUAGUCUCUAACCCUGCAUAGUUUAUUGGAACUCUCGUGUAUGCUCUACGAACGUCCCUCAUCCAUCUCCGCAAAAUAUACUGAUCCGGAAUACACGUGACAUCGUUCUAGUCUUGAACCGCUAUUGCAUGCUUACAAAGUAUUCCCCUAAACUCAAAUAAGUGGCAGCUACAAACAACUUCGCAAUUAUUUCUCACAAAUGAGACGACUCAAGUUUUUCUCUUGCGACGACCAUCAUACAUAAUAGUCUCCUGUACAUUAUACGUUGUCUCAGAAGAUCCUUCUGACGUAGAUAUGACAUUACAGUAGACCUUACCUGUGAACUCUUUUUAAACUUCCCGACAUUUCGAUAUGGUGUAAACUGACCGAAACUGUUCUUCCAUUUCAAACUGUGUUGCACACGGUAUCAUUUGAGAGAACGACUUGAAAUCAGCUUGGAAUUCCUUCUCGACCUUAUUCCCGAGAGCACGUUCGUACUGUUCGACGAAUUCCUUCAACGAUGUCUUCGAAUGCACAUAUUCACCAAAGAACGCGUUCAUACUCUCGAUUCUCUAUGUUGUAAACAUUCCUGCCUAAAAAGUUAUUUUCAAAAAACAAGGCACCCAACGCCCUCUAUUCUCAUAUAAUCCUGACAACCAAUUAUUUUGCUGCAAACUAUAGGUGUCAAUCAUCGCCAUCCAACCUUCAUCAAAUUCUUGUUCCGACUGUGAAUCAUACACUAAUCCAUGUAUAGCCCCAAAUAUCAAACCCUUAUCCACAUGGUAUCCAAACUUUUCCGGGGGCUUCUUCAAAAUACGCUACAAACACCAUCUAUGCUUCGUCUUCGGGAAGACAAUCUCAAUUGCAUUUUGCAUGGCUCUAUCCUAAUCGGUAAUUAUGGCCUGCGUAGUUUCACCAUACAUACACUGAAGCCAUGUUCUAAACAACCAUACGAAAGUCUCAGUGUCCUCAUUCGACAACAACCCACUACCAAGUAAUGUUGACUAUUCGUGAUGAUUGAUGCCAGCAAAGGGGGCGAAUGGCAUGUCAUACUUAUUAGUAAGAUAGGUGGUAUCAAAAGUAACCACAUCACAAAACUCCUUGUACGCUGGCCUACACCGAUUAUUUGCCCAGAAUACAUUUCUUAGUCGCGAAUCAUCGUCCAAAUCCAUACUGAAAUAAAAUCUCGAACAUUGAGCUUGCAUUCUUGAAAAGUAUGAUUGUAUUGUUGCAGCAUCGUCCUCUCCAAGUCGUAAUCACCUAACUCGUUCGACAUAGUUCCGACAAUUUUUUUCAAUGCAAGUCAUGUUCUCAUAUCCACCAGCUUCUACAACUGCGGAAUUGUAACUCUUAUGCAAUGGAAUCCCUGCUAAAUCAUUCAUUUCAAACUUUCUUUUCACAUGUGCAGUAAAAGUUCGGUUGCAUCGAUAUAACCUGGACUUAGAUGGACUUGUCUUAUGAUUGUGCUCUAGGGGACCGCAUUAAUUCUCCAAUUUCCCAGGAUAUCUUAAGAUGCGGAUAUCCUUGUUUUACAACCCAUCUUAACUGUUGGUUGAGGCUUCAGUGAACUGCUAGUAUUACCAUUUAAUCGUCCUUCACGACUACAUGUUAACGUUAGGUAUCUCAAUGCUCCAUCCUCCCCCUUUUUCGAAUUCCUUUUUUUAACGGGAGAACCAACGGCAUAAGCAUAUUUUUUGCAGAAGUUAUACAUAUCUUCUUCAUGCUUAAAUAGCAUACCCACCUCAUGCACUUGUAACCCAUCCCUCCUGAUGUUUCGUCUUUGACUACAUUCACAAACUUCGAAUAUUCUCAGUAUCGGAUUCCAUCAAAACAUCAACAGGCUCAUCUUCUACGUCUUCCAUACUUUAUUUUACCGCAAAAAUAAAUAGGAUCAUUAUAGCAGUCUUUGACAUGAACCAUAAAAAUUUGAAGGACAAAUCUCAAUUCGGCUCUCUAUCUGUCGUCUACAAUUUCUUUACUUAAUAUAUGGCUCAAGCAAAUUGAUUCUAAACCAUUCAGCAAAAUCAAGAAAAACACAAUGACGCAAAUAAAGGCAAACCAUUGGAAAAACAUGCAUUGAUCUUCACAAAACCCUUAAAAAAAAAAAAUACAGAGUACUAUGUUUGUUAUUAUCCAAAUAAAAUGAAACAAAACCCUUCAAAAAAAUUAAUAUUGUUAUUUGUUGGGAGGGGAAUGAACAAAUAAUAGAGUAGCUCCCAAAUCUAGCUUCGGAACAAACCCCAUGAUUCUCGACGCAAGGCAGCUGCAAAAAUGGACAAACAACUAUUUCUCACCAACAUAACAGGACCAAUCCCAGCAAAACUUGGAAAACUCUCAAAGCUCCAGACUCUUGAUCUUUCUGAUAACUUCUUUCAUGGAAGUAUUCUUUCUUCACUAUGGCGAAAUUUAAACUACUAAAAGGACUUAACAACUCCUUUUCGUAAAGUGAACUCAGUAACAUGUCAUCAUCAUUCGGCUAAGAAUUGAUAAUGUUUGAAGGGGAAUUGGAAUCGAUAGUUACAUAAUUGAGAAAAGGUGAACCACUUGACAGGAAAUUUGAGGAAUAGAGUGACCCGACAAAAUUAUAGUCGCUGGAGAUUUCUCUUUGCAUUUUUUAUUAUAUAGAAUCCUAUUUCCUACCCAAUAAAACAUAAUCAAAUUUUCGCUUCAAUUCAAUGAAUAUCAGAUUCAAUUGAAUUACAGUUAGAAUAUAAAAUCAUUGACUAUAAUAAACGUAAAGAAUACAUAAAUGAAAUGAUUGAUUACAUUUUUCUUUUGGAAAAACACGAAAAUUAUACCCACAACCCCAACACACGUAGAUAUCAUUCAAGAAAAUAUUCCAUUCAACUGAUAUAUAAUUUAAUGGAAUAAAGAAACUAUUUUAUUCAAUUCAGGUAAAUCAUUUAAUGGAGUAAUUGAAGAAACAAUGGAUUGAACAUGAUGUAUGCAAACAUAUACGCACGAAUGCAUCCAACCAAUAGAAUACAAACCAAAAUCACAAAAGCUUUAUUCAUGUUUCUUGAUUAAUGAACAAGAAUCAAGUCUCGAAUUUCUCCUAAAACCAUGACCAAUCAUGAGACUGAAAAAAGAAAAAGCAUUCGCAAAUAUGUUCACACUCAUACUGUGCGUUUGAGUUUAAACUACUAAAAGGACUUAACAACUCCUUACCGGUGAAGAUGCUCUAGUCAACGAUGGGUGCUCCGGUUAGCGAUGGGUGCGGUGGUGGGAGGGACGGAGGGUUUGCUACUUAUGUUUCCUGCUUUUGCUUUCUCGUACUGUGGGAGCCAAGAUGAUCGGAGAUGGAAGGAUUACCGGUGAAGAUGCUCUGGUCAACGAUGGGUGCUCCGGUCGGCGAUGGGUUCGGUGGCGGGAGGGAGGGAGGGUUCGCGAGUUUCCCGCUUUUGCUUCCUCGUACUGUGGUCGUCCCCCUUUUGUUUAGUUUCUUAAGUUUUGUUUUGUUUUUUUUUUUUUUUUUUUUUUUUUUUUUUUUUUUUUUUUUUUUUUUUUGGUUUUUUUUUUUUUAAAUGUGCAAUAAGUGCAUCAUCAGCGAAAAUUCAAAUCCCUGUUUUUAUCCUUGUUUUCAUCCCUGGCUUAUUAGCAAUAUUCUAUGUCAUAAACCUAAAAAAUAUUGUCUCAGAAGUAACUUCUGCAGACAACCAACCAUGAGAGUUUAGAGUUUUAUGCUUGAGAUGGGAUAGAACGUGAAAUAGUACGGCCCGUAAAUGAGCAAAUUGAGACAAAUAAUUAACUGCCCUAGUUAUACACAAAGUUAAUAGGCAUUUGUGCUAGGACUUUUCUAUAUUUGAUAGGAUUCCACUCGAAGCAAAAAGAGAAAAAUGAACUUGUAAUUGAUUUUUGAAUUACUGUAGAGAAUUACAAGAAUAGGGAAGUAAAAUACACUCUUCUACUCAACUUUUGCCUGCCUACUUGGAUUCCAUCACUCUUAUUUAUAGUCAUUUUCUAACUAAUUUCCUCCCUCCACUUGCCCUUGUAACAGAAUCCUGUUGCUGCCACUCUUUCUCAAGCCUUCUGGACUCUUCGAGAAUUGGAGGCUUAUCAAUACCUAUUAAAAUCUUGAAUUAGAAAACCAUCCAUAAAAGGAGAAGAACAUAGACAAUGGAAUUGGAAUAAAUUCUAUGAAGAUAUUUCUAGUAUAAAGCUAGAGAGAAUAAAAGAAAAUCAAUAUACUAAAAUCAUAUUCAUGAUUGGAGGAUAUCCAAUGAAUUGCAAGGUAUACAAGGUCUUGUAUUUAUAGACACGAAUGUGGGUGGCUAACUAACUACAAUAACUAACAAACUAACUAGUAACUAACCAAUCAACAAACUAACUAAUUUUUGAAUUUGCUGGAAUCUCCUGGAACGUAUAUUCUAAUACNNNNAGACAGAAUAUGGAGAUCAACAAUAGUCCAUCUUGAAAAUUAAAGUGUGAAUCAUGGAUGCAAGUGCACUUAAGAAGCCUUCUUCAGCUUCUUUAACUUCUUUGUCAUUUUCCCAGAUUCAGCGUCUGAGAGAAUUUUCUGCGGCAAUAUAGGGGUUGAAUAUGCUUCCUGUAGCCUAGAUUUUGUGAGGACUCGAUAAGUGACCAAUGCAAGUGCACCAUAGUAACUGGUUUUCACAUUAGACUCCAACUCAAAUGAAUGGGAAACAAGGGAACUAGCGUCAAGUCUUUCCCAUGACUUAGAUGUGUUGCCAAUUAUAGAAUCAAAUACAUCUUGAGCCCAACUAUCAUCAGCAAGAGUUACAUCAUAUGCAGUGGCGGAUCCACGGUUGUAAACGUCAAUGGAGACGGAGAUCUAUUCGAUGUCAGAAUUGAUCUUUUUGAGAGCGAAUCUUUUGUGCGCCACUAUAAAUGGAGACUCGGAUGCAUUUGCAAAUGGUGAAGAAAUGAAAAUGAGAGCUAGAACAACAGAAAGUGUUGAUGCUUUGAGAACUGGAGUAGCUGCAAUGAAAGCCAUGCAGAAGGCGACUAAUAUUGUGAUGUGGACAAAACAAUGAGUAGACCGAAAAUGUGGAACGGAUUCAAGAAGCACUGUCAGCACCAAUUGGUGCAGCGGCUUAUUUUGAUGAAGAUGAAUUAGAGGCAGAACUUGAAGAGUUGGAAGGAGUUGAGUUGGAGGAACAUAUCCUGCAACCUGCUACAACCACCCUUGUUGCUCCAAUUCAAGUGCCUGCUGGAAGGCCACCUGUAUGUCCAACUGCUCGCAAGAAUCCAGAAGAGGAAGAUGAGCUUGCAUGUUGUUGGUAUUGAAAGCAAUACUUGAGGUCAUUCCCAAUGGCAGACAAACUGGCAGAUGAUCUGAAGCUAAAGUUAUCUUCAGAUUUGGUCUGCUCCAUUUCAGAAAUAAAUCUAAGAGCAAAUUAAUAGAAGAGACGGAAACAAAUUGUGUAGAAGAAGAUCUACUCUAAUACCAUGUUAAAAUCUUGAAUUAGAAACCAUGACUUAAAAUCCAUAAAAAGAGAAUAACAUAGACAAUGGAAUCGGAAUAAAUUCCAUGAAAAUAUCUCUAGUAUAAAGCUAGAGAGAAUAAAAGAAAAUCAAUAUGCUAAAAUCAUAUUGAUGAUUGGAGGAUAUCCAGUGAAUCGCAAGGUGUACGAAGUCUUGUAUUUAUAGACAAAUGGGGUGGCUAAUUAACUAGAAUAACUAACAUCCAACUACUAACUAGUAACUAACCAAUCAACAAACUAACUAAUUUUUGAAUCUGCUAGAACAUAUAUUCUAACAAUACCCCUGGUUUCCAAAAUCACCUUGAAAAUUAGGAGCAUUUUUAUUUCUACCACGGACUUGCCCCUAUUGAAAUUACUGUUGAGCUGCUCCGAGUUCUACUUUUGCAGCUGCCAAUAAACAUUGCUUGGUAGCAAUAAACUGAUCAGGAGCCCCCUCUCAGCGUUCGCCCCAGCCUCAACCGACCACCAGCAACUAGAUUGGUAUCAUUACAAAUUCCAUAGGCAGUUGUCCAUGCAUUGUGAAUUAGGCCUACUUCUCCUUAGGCUUGUUUUAAUAAGUUCCCAUCUACCAAUUAGGCCAUCUCCAAAAUCAAGCUACAAGUUUUUCCACAUGGGUUUUAGAUCUUAUUGCCAGCCCAUUGACACAUUUCUCUUGAAUCAACCCAUUAACUGAGCUUUUCCCAUCUCCUUUAACAUUGGAUCGACCUUCCAAAUAAUUCCAGAUUCAUCUCCCUCCAUAACUCUGGUUACGGUUGUUACCUGAAAAACAAGAGCUGCCAAGCUUUUUCUGGGUUUCAGCCAUUAAUUACAGCAUUCUGGCCAUAUUCUAGAUAGGUGUUCCACUGGCCGCUGUAACCCCAACAGGUGCUGCAACUCUAAUUUCAAGUAUUCCAUUUCUUUCUAAUAGGAAUUUACUUAAUCAUGUACAACGAAAAAUAAAAUAAUUUCAAUUUUCAUCACGGAUGUGCUUUAUGUUCAGAUUGAAACUGUGAUAGGAAUUUUGCCUUUGUUUAAUUCUACAAACUCCUUUGCUUUCUUGAACGCGAACAAUCAUGAUCUACAAUCUACAGAUGUCCAACGACGUGAAUUAUUAUUUCGAUCUAACUAAAAUUAAUAAAAUAUACAUUUUAAUUUAUUGCCAAUUCACAUCAGUCGUCCCAAAUUGACAUCUAAGAAUGUGUCAUGGUAAUACAUGUAACAAAAAAUAUCACGUGUUAUGAUAAAAUCAAACUUGUUUAUUUAUCAUGAAACUAUAAUCAUUUUCGUCAAUAUGAUUCGAUCAAUUAUGAGAUAUGGAUAUGUGUCAUUUUCAAUUAUCGAUCAUAUCUUUCAUCCCACUAUUAAGUCAAUAUAAGUCGAAAACUCUUUUCCGACUUAUGAGUAUAAAAUGGCCAAGAAUUUGAUUAUCAACUUAAUGAAAUGUAGGACAUAAUCUCUUACUAUUUAAGAGCGAUGAAUUCUCUAUUAAUCAUUCACAACCUUUAUGUGAUUCUUGACAUACCCAAAUGAUGCCAUAUUAGCAAUCCUUGGUAGAGUAACAUCCAAUAUCACUAAAUUAUGACUGUCCUCAUAUCAGGUACUAUGAUAACCUCAAGUUAAAGGACCAAUUCCACUACAGAAUGUUAGAGAUUAACCACUGAUACUCAUAUAGUUAUAUAUGUAGAAUCUCCUUAGCGGGUUUCCAAUGUUUUAUCUAUAACAAAACAUCCACGUGUUCAUUUAAGUGUCUCCACACUUUAACUUGUGAGAUUAGCUAUUUACUUCACAAGUAAGAAAUACCAUGCGUGAUGAUUUAUCCGUAAUAAUGAUAUUUGUAUCUUGUUAUUACUUACGACCAUGUAUGAUUUAAGAUUGUCAUAUGUAAUUUAUGUCUCAUAAUCACAAAUCCUUGUGAUUAACAAAUUACUAAGACUUAAAUCUACAGACUCUAUUGUUUAAUAUAAUUUAUUGGAAUAGUAAUUCAAAUAAUGAAUCUUGUCAUAAUAAAUGCAUUAAAUUAUAUAUUAAAAGUGUUCAUGUCCAAAAUUGAUUAGACCUAGAGCAUACUUCUUACACUUUCUCCAUCACUUCCGCUCGGCUUUCUAUCUUCUCCUUGGCCGUGAGAUUGAACAUGCUUUGAUACCAAUUGGAUAGGAUUCCACUUGAAGUAAAAAGAGAAAUAAGAACUUGUAAUUGAUUGUUGAAAUUCUGCAGAGAAUUGCAAGUCCAGUCAUUCUCUAACUAAUUUCCUCCCCCAACUUGCCCUUGUAACAGAAUCAUGUUGUUGUCACUCCUUCUCAACUCUUCCGGAGUCUUCCAGAAUUGGAGCUUAUCAUAUUCUUAGAUGUUUAUUCAAGAUCAUUUUCUCCAAUCAUCGAUGCCAGUAUGUUUGUCUUUAUCUUCUAAAUUCAUGAGUAAGAUGCCUACAGAACUGGAGAAAGGAACUUGUUGACCCAUGAGUGAGUAUAUAAAACCACACAAUCUCAACGAAGAUUGUGCUUUUGGUUUUUUUUUGUGGUUGAAUGUGUUUUUACUUGUUAUGUGGGGCUUCAAGUUCUCUAUUUGUACCCUAUUAUCUGUUUAUUUUACACCUUAGAUUCAGGCAGUCAUUAUUUCAUAAGAAAUUUUCUCCUCCUUUUCAUUUGUCCUUUCCUGCAUGCUGUGCUGUAAAUAUUCUAUUUUUAUUUGGUGCAUCUCUAUCCAAACCUCGACAAGUUUGGUUUCCUUAGAUGAUGAUGUUAUAAUUCAGCGUGAAUCUUAAUGAAAAAGUUAAUCGUGCUGCCGAAACUUGUAAAGGUGAAGAUGAGUGGGUGAUGUCUAAGCGAUUUAGGACUUAUUUCAACUUCUCUCAUCCGCUUGUAGCAAAGAAUUUGGAUCCCAAUGAAUGUGCAUGGGCUUCUGGAAUGAAUAUUUUUUGACUUGCGUGCAUGGAGAAAGACAAAUAUUAGAGACAUAAAAUUGAAGUAUUAUUCUUCUGAUACCACUGUUGGGAAUCUACUUAUACAUGCACAGCGAAAAAUUAAAAUUAUUUCGAUUCCCACCGAGGAUCCCUUUGUGUUUAGAUAGAAAUAAUGAUAAAAAUUGUACCUUUGAAGAAUUCUGCAAUCAUUUUGCUUUUCUUUUCAUUCCAACAAUCUUGAUUCGCCAUCCACAGCUGUCCAAUUGUCCAGCCUCCAACGGUAAUCCACACAGAGAAUAAGAUUGCAGCUACCAGAGUUUUUCCUCUUGUGCCAGCAAGAAUAAUGAAAACCAUAUGGAUUUCAAACCCUAGCCAUGUAUUUAUAUAAACCCAAACGGGUUCGGUCCGGUCCAAUAUUUAAUUAAUCCAUUUAAUUAAACUUGGUCUGUGAAUUAAUUAAUUCAAUUAAUUAAUUCGGAUAUAAAUAACCAAUCCAAUUAAUUAAUUUAUUUAACGAUUGUUAAAUUAAUUAAUUGAUAAAUUGCAAUCUUUUAAUUCUCUUUUGUGUGCGAUCAAUCAGGUUCUCGAUCACGAUACCUAACGACGUGAAAUAUUAUUUUGAUCUAAUCAAAAUUGAUAAAUUAAAACACCCUUUUAAUUUAUCGUGAAUUUACACUCGCCGUCCAAUAUUGGCAUCUAACAAUGUGUAAGGGCAAUACAUGUGAUGGAAAAUAUCACGUGGUAUGACAAAAUCAAACUCGUUCGUUUACUAUGAAACUAUAAUCCCUUCGUCAAUAGGAUCCGAUCAAUUACGAGAUAUGGAAUUGUGUCAAUCCCGAAUAUCGAUCAUAUCUUUCACUCUACUAUUAAGUCAAUAUAAAUCGAAAACUCCUUUCGACUUCUGAGUACACCUUAGUCAAGGAUUUCGUUAUCGACUUAAUUAAAUGAAACGCAGAUUAUAAUCUCCUACUAUCUAAGAGUGACGAAUCCUUUAUUGAUCAAUCACAACCUUCAUACGAUUCUUGACGUACCCGAACGAUGUCGUAUUAGCGGCCCUUUGCAGAGCAACAUCCAACACCGCCAAAGUAUGACUGUCCUCAUAUAAGGUACCAUGACGACCUCAAGUUAAAGGACCAAUUCCACUACCGAACGUUAGAGAUUAACCACUGACACUCAGAUAGUUAUCCAUGUGGAAUCUCUCGGGGGGUCUCCAACAUUUUGUUCUAUAACAAAACAUCCACGUGUUCAUUUAAGUGUCACCACACUUUAACUUAUGAGAUCAGCUACUUACUUCACAAGUAAGAAAUGACACACGUGAUGGUCUAUCCGUAAUAACGAUAUCUGUAUCUCGUUAUUACUUACGACCACGGAUGAUUUAAGAUUCAAUCAGAUGUAAUCUGUAUCUCACAAUCACAACUCCUUGUGAUUAACAAAUUACGAAGAUUUGAAUCUACGGACUCUAUUAUUUAUUUAAUUGUCUAUUAAUUAAAUAAUAGAUCUUCCAUUAAAUUGCAUUAAUUAUAUAUUAAAAGUAUUUAUGUCCAAAGUUGAUUGGAUUUAGGGCAUAAUACUUACAAACUCCCACUUGCACUAGAUCCAAUCACUUAUGUAUUCAAUAUCAUAAGUCUAGAUGACGAUCAUGUUUAUGCUACGACAACUCUUUGUCAGUGGAUCUGCAAUAUUGUUAAAUGUGAGAAUUUUUUCUUCUCUUUACGUCAUUUCUAUGUAUUAUCUCUCUGAUGAGAUUAUACCACCUUAAUACAUGUUUGGAUCAUUGAUGAGACCUUAGUUCCUUUGCUUUCACAAUGGCUCUAUUGUUAUCAUAAUACAAUAGUAUGUGAUCAACAAUAUCAGAAACUACUCCAAGUUCAUUUAUGAACAUCAUGAUCUAGAUUGCAACUCCUUGCUACUUCUGAAGUAACCAUGUAUUAGGUUUCUACUAUUGAAUCAACGGUUGCUUCAUGUUUGGAACCUUUCCAACAUACCGCUUAAGAUAAACCAGUUUCUCCAUAUGAAAUCUUCUCAAGAUUUCAUCUAUAUAAAUUGGGUUGAGUUAAGCAAUCUUCUAGAUUUACCUCUAUAGAUCAAGAUGCUUCUCCCAUAUCGUUUAUGAAUAAAUCAUUGGACAACCUGUAUUUCGACGUUUGAAAUAUAGGGAUGUCGUUUCAUAUAAUAUUAGGAAUACGACAAUGCUCCCACUAUCUUCUUGUAAACACACAAUUCGUCUUCAAAUUUGAUAAAAUCAAACACUUUGACCUUUUCAUCAAAUCGAAGAUUUCAGCUCCAUAGAGACUUAUCUUAACCUAUAGUCACGAUAUGCAACUAUUGCAAGCAAAACCCGAAUGGACUUCAACAAGGCUACAGGAGAAAGGUUUCACCAAGGUCAACACUUAACCUUUACUUCUAGCCUUACUUUGUAUAUAUGGAUAUGCACACCCACAUCGACCUUUCUCUUGUAAACUAUUUACAAAACUUUAUGGAUUUUAUUCCAUCAGGAGGCUCGACCAAUGUCCAAACUUUGUUCACAUACGUCGAGUUCAUCUCGAGUAUCAUGGCCUCUUGCCGUCUCUUUUAAGUCAACACUUGACUUUAUUUUGUUGCAACUAGCAGGUUCAUUAUCCUGGAUCACUAAUACCUGAUUAAUGAUCAUGGAUUCGCAUCUUCUUGAAGGUCAAAUGAUCCUACUAGAUUCACAUAGAACUGACAUGUCCUCAGGAGUCUUUACUUCCUGAUCAAGAGUAUGUCACAUAUCAAAUAUGGGAUCAAACUCGAAUUUAUCUACUUGGUUAACUAUAUCUGUGGACUCUUGAACUCUUUCAAGUUUUAUUUUGCUCCCACCGUCCUCCCCUAGAGUGAACAUUUUCUCUAAAAGACAAUAUGUCAUGAGAUGAAGACUUUCUUCAUGAUAAUAGAAUUUAUAUUCAAAUGUCUACUUUGAAUAUCCCCACAAAUACGUAUAUAUCAGAUUUAGUGUCAAACUUAUCCGAUUCAAGGCGCUUCAAAUAAGCGUCAUGACCCCAAGCUUUCAUAUAAGAUAAAUUGGGAUUAUUGCCUAUUCAUAACUCGUAUGGAGUUCUGUUAACCAAUUUAGAUAGGAUAUGAUUUAGUGUAUCAGAUGCUGCAAUCAAUACAUGACCCCAAAAUAAUUUUGGAAGAUUUGCAUGACUUGUUAUUAAUCGCAUUCUAUCUAAUAGUUAACGAUUCCUCCUUUCAGAUACACCAUUAUGUUGUAGUGUAUGUGGAGGAGUCCACUACAAGAGAAUCUCAUUCUCUCUUAGAUAAUCUAGAUUUCAUCUUUAAGAUACUCUCACUUGAUCGAAUUUUAAUGUGAGGGUAUCUUUACUUAUUUGUUUCUCUACUUUUAAUUUGAAUCUUUUGAACUUUUCAAGAGUUUCAUAUUUGAGUUUUCAUCAAGUAUACAUGAUCAUUGAUGAAAUAAGAGAAACAUUACUUGACAUUAAUCGACACGAGUCCAUAUGCAUCACUAUGCAUUAGACCAGUAAUUAUGCUGACAUUUCUUCUUUUCAAGUAAAAGAAGAUUUGGUCAUUGUGCCGGACAUGCAUAAUUUGUACUUGUCAAAAU
rnacentral:lncRNA from 1 species